UUCUUUUUUUUUUUAAGAAAUUUUAAAUUUCUAAAUAUCAAAAUCAAUUAAAGGCCUAUUCUUCAUUGCUUAAAAAAAAGCACUUCUGACUCCAAAAGCACGUUUGGAAAAAAAAUUUGUGCUAAACAAGCUGUUUUUGCUAAAAUUUUUAACUUUUAGAAGUGAUUUUCAAAAGCACUUCUGAAAAGGAGAAGCUAAAAAUUUUAGUUUUUCCUCUCCCAAAAGCACUUUUGGUGCUUAAUUGCUUUUUCACCCCUCCAAUAACAUAGUACUUUCCUUUUUUUUCCUUGGUGCUUAAUUACAAAUGUAUUAAAAUCAUUAAUUAAAAAUAAAAAAAAUAUUUUUUAAAAUACUAAUUACAAAUAUUUAAUGGUUAUAUUUAAAUAUUUAAAAUAUAGUUUAUAUAUUCUAAUUAAAUUUUAAAUAAUUAAUAUUUAUUGCUUAAAAAUAUUUAAAAUUUAUAUUUCAUAUAUUAAAAUAUUAACAACAAGUUAUAAUAAUUUUUUUAUAUUCUUACUAAAAUAUAAUAAUAUUAACUAAUUUAAAUAUUAUUUAAAUGCAUAUUUGUUAUUUGAUAAUAACAUGUCUAAAAUGGACAUUUUAUUUCUCAAAAUCACUUUUUGACAGCAAUGCUAAACACUCAAAUUUUAAACUAAACUUUUUAAAAGCACUUCUCAAAAGCACUUCUCAAAAGCACUUUCCCACCACACUUUUCAAAAACAUUGUCAAACUAGCCCUAAAUAAGUUAUUGAAAAAAAUUCACUUGGCAGUGGCAACCGAUUUGUUACUAGAAUAUUGAACUUAAUUAAUUUAGUCUCCUUCAAAAUUUUAAAAUUUUAUUUUAUGUUUUCAAAUUAAAACCAACUCAAUUAAAUAAUCUUGAAUAUUCGUCUAUAAAACUCAAAUUUCUUUUGAUUAUAUGAUUUUGAGUCUUUCAUACUAAGCUAAAAUCAAAGAAAAAAAUCUUACAAUUAAUUUAAUUAAUUAAUUUAUCUUUCAUAGCAAACAAAAAUUCAGAAUUUUUCAUCACUUCUUUACCCAAACGAAGAACAAGCAAUUAAUUUAAUUAAUUGCAAGACUUUUCUUUUCUUUUAACUUAGUAUGGAACAUCCGAGAUUAUAUAAUAAAAAAUUAAUUUUUAUAGACAAUUAUUGAAUAUGAGUUAUCGAGUUGAUUUAAUUAAGAAUAAUAAGGAAACAUAAAAUAAAAUUUUAAAAUUUAGAAGGAGAUUAAUUUAAUUCAUUUUAGUGUUACAGUAACAAAUCAGUUGUCAUUAUCAAAGGAUAAAAACUUCUCAACAAUUUAUUUAAUUUAUUUUGAUGUUUUGAAAAUUAAAUUUUCAAUAUUAAAAAAAAAUUAAAAUUUUUGACAAUGUGAUAAACAAGUACAAUUUGACAAUUGUUUAAUGCAUUAUUAGUUUCUACCACUUUUUUACUUUAAUCCUUAGUUUAUUUUUUUUACCUUAAUCAAUAUUUAACAAGAAAGCGUAUUUUUUUGGUGAUCAAAAUGAAAGCGACCUAGAAGUUGGGUGACCAAAAUGAAAGUGCAAACAUGUUGUGGCGUAUAUAGUUAGGGCUGUAAAUGAACCGAGCUUGAACGAACAAACCUCUGUUCGUGUUCGUUUGUUUAUUUUUAAGCUUGUUCGUGUCCAGUUUGUGUUCGUUAAGAAGUUCAAAUUUUUGUUCAUGUUCGUUUAUUUAAAAUUAUGUGUGCUUAUGUUCGUUUGUUUAAUGUUCACGAACAUGUUCAUUUAAUUUAAUCGAACAUGUUCACAAACAUUAAAUGAACAUGUUCAUUUAACUUAAUCCAACAUGUUCACGAACAAUGUUAAUAAAUAAUAAACAAACAAACAAUAAAUACAUACAUACAUACAUACAUACAUACAUACACACACAUAUUGUUUAGAUAUAAAAUAGUCAAAUAUAAAUAUUAAUAAUUAUAUUAUAAAUAAAAGAAUACAAAUCAAGAUAAUUUUAUUAAUAUAUACUAAUGGAACAAUAAACGAGUUUUAAGAUAAUUUUAUUAAUAUAUACUAAUGAAUUUUUUAUAAGAAAAAUUCAUUAAUAAAUAAACAAAUCAUAAACAAGUCAAUACACAAGCUUAUAAACUAGCCAAUAAACGAGUUUUUAAAUAAGCUUGUUUGUGAACGUAAACGAACAGAACACACCUCUGUUUGUGUUCAUUUGUUUAUUAAACAAAAAUAAAAAUUUUGUUCAUACUUAUUUAUUUAGCUUAAUAAACGAAUGAUUCACGAACAGUUUAUCGAACAUUCUAUUCAUUUAUACCCCCAUAUAUAAUUACCUUUCGUUAAAGAUUUAAUGAUUGAAUGAUUAAAAUAAAAAUAUUUUAAAAGUUGAGUAACUAAAAUGAAAGUGUUAUUCUUUAAUCAUUGUGUACAACAACUCAAUACAAAUUAAAGUAUAAAUACAAUAUUCAAAGUUUACAUGUAAGGUCAAAGUAGAAUAGUAAAUAUGCAUGAACACUAUCAAAUUUGAUUAAUAAAAUUUCCAUUUAAACCUAUUUUAUUUCUCAGAUAAUUUUAAUUUUGUAUUACCUACAAUUUAGGUAUUGAGAAUAAUUCAUUUCUAGUGAUUGAAAUGAUGUAGACACAAAAUAGGAAAACAAUGUAGUGAUUGAGAGAAGGAUGAUGACGCAUAGAGUAACUGACUGACACAGGUGGUACGUGGCAUGGACGCAUUUCAUACUGAUAUGGGCAAUAUACUCCUCCUUCUUCACACCCCUGGAGUUCGGGUUUUUCAGAGGACUCCCAGAGAACCUUUUCCUCUUAGACAUUGCUGGCCAACUUGCCUUUCUCUUCGAUAUUGUCGUACACUUUUUCCUUGCCUAUCGCCACACUCACUCCCAUCAUUUGGUUUACGAUCGCAGGCUCAUCGCCCUCAGGUAUCUCCAUUUCCCUCUAUUCCUUCUUCUUUGCUUCUUACUCUUAAUUAUUACCCAUUCCUUUCAUUCCUCAUUCCAGGUACUUGAAAUCUCGUUUUAUUGUUGAUUUCCUUGGAUGUUUGCCUUGGGAUGCUAUUUAUAAGGUACCCAUUUCUUUUUCCUUUUUUUUUUCUUUUUCAAAAGGAAACUAGUAAUUGAUUAACAAAUUUCUUAUACAAGUUAUGUUUGUUUAUUUCCACCAUUGCAUUUCAUUAAUGUCAAAUAUCUAGGAGAAAGAAAUGUUUGACUAGUAUUGAUAAAAAUGAUAAUGAUGAAGAAUUAUAUUACUAAAUCCAACUGCUAAUUUGUUAAAUAAACAUUGAAUCAAAAAAGUAAUCAAAACUAAAAUUUGAGUGGCAAAGUUGAAUAAAAAAUUAGAAGUUUAGUUGCAAAAUUAAAUAAAUAAAUAAAACUAGUGUGGAAAAUUUGCCAAUAGUAUCAAAGUAAAAUGGUAUGUAAAUAAAAGUAUGGUGGCAAAUUACAAUAUCCAUUAUAGAUAGCAAUUUUCUCCUUUAAUCCACAUAAAUGACGAAAAAAGGUAUAGAGAUUCAACUAUUCAUAUAUAUGAAAAUUUUAAAAAAGUUUGAACAUAUAUAUUUUGGAUACAUCGUAGUAUAACACACUCAUAGGACCCAACUAUAACUACUUAACCUUAGCAUAUAUUUAGGAAUGAGUAUGAUGAUUAGUGGUCUAAAGUCAUUUUACUGUGACAAGGUUUGUGGACGAAAAGAGCCUAUUAGAUACAUGCUAUGGAUUAGGCUAAGUCGGGCUCUACGAGUGACAGAAUUUUUCGAGAAGUUGGAGAAAGACAUUCGAAUCAAUUACCUUUUCAUCAGGAUUGUUAAGCUUAUUGUGGUUGAAUACUAUUGCACACAUGCUGCUGGUUGCAUCUUUUACUAUCUUGCUACAACAGUUCCUCCUUCCAAGGAAGGUUACACAUGGAUAGGAAGUUUACAAAUGGGUGAAUAUCGUUAUUCAAAUUUCAGGGAGAUUGAUCUGUGGAAGCGGUAUAUAUUAUCUCUCUAUUUCUCUGUUGUAACCAUGGUAACUGUUGGUAAGUUUUUCAACUUUGUUUGAUUUCCAUUAGGAGAUUUUUGGUGAAUUUAGAAACUUCAAUUGCUUUUUAUUAUAUUUUGGUUUCUUUUUUUUUAUGUUGAUGAUUCACUUUAACAUUUUCUUCUCUUACCUGUUAUAUCAAUAAAGCCAUUAAUCAUUAUUUUUCUCAACUCUUUUUACUAUCAUCACACAACCAUGCAUUUCUGCAAAUAUUAGUUGGUUGAGACAUAUUCCAUCUAGUGGAUUCUUCAUCCUAGGAUGUUGAAGAUCUUAUAACCAUUGAAUAGACUUUAAUAUUGCCUCUACAUAAUGCUUGUGUUUACAAGUCACCCUUUGGUGAGAUCUAAUCAAACUCUGUUUAUCUUUUGAAGAGGGGAUUCCAUGUAUGUGAUUCUUCUUUGUAUGAAAUUGGAUUUUUAUGUACUUUCAAAAAGUUCAAUUAGUUGGUAUAUCUUGUUUCUAAAAUAGCAAGUGGAAGUGGCUCCAUAUGACUUGGGAUUCUCUAUUCUCCUUGUUGAUCAUGUUCUCUCACCUGCAGGUUAUGGAGACAUACAUGCAGUCAAUGUCAGAGAAAUGAUAUUUGUGAUGAUUUAUGUUUCUUUUGACAUGAUUCUGGGUGCUUAUUUGCUCGGUAACAUGGCAGCCUUGAUAGUAAAAGGAUCAAAGACAGAAAGGUUUAGGGAUAAAAUGGCGGACCUUAUCAAAUACAUGAAUAGAAAUAAUCUUGACAAGCAAAUAAGUAAGGAGAUUAAAGGCCACCUAAGAUUACAGUAUGAUUGUAGUUAUACUGAGGCAAGUGCUCUUCAAGAUAUUCCAGCUUCUAUUCGCACCAAGGUAAUUCUUUCAUCUUUCAUAACAUUCCCCACUUCAUAGAAACUAAAAUUCUAUAAUCCAAUGUUUAAAAGUGUUUUUUGAUGUAUUAGCAUCUUUGCUAUAAAGCUUAUCCAUAACCUUUUACCUAGAAAAACCUUUCUUUAGAAACUAUUAUGGCUUAACAAACUACAUCAUGCAGACACAUAUAUAAACUAUGUAGAGAAUUUAUCUCACUUGAAUUAAUUCAAUUGUGAAAAUACAACUUCUACAAUCUCCUAUUUAUACGAGAAAUUAUUCUAUAGAUUAUUGAAUUAAAAAAUAAGGUUAUUAUUAAUUUUAAUUUGAACUCAUUGCUACUAGGGAUAGAGUUUUCAAUCUGCAACAUACUUUUAUUCUAUUAUUGUUUUCUCUUAUUUUCAAUAUGGGUAGCAUGGAUUAUUUCCCGCGGUGAAUAUUUUGUUUAGAGCUCAAAAAAUGGAAAAUUUUUGUUGAGUUUUAAAUCAAUAACUAAAGAUCAAAAACAAAAUUUUGCGUUUGAAAGAUGAAAAACAGAAGCAAAAUUCGGAUGUUGGAUGAUGAAGAAAAUAUUGACUUCAUUACUUGAAUAAGCAAAAAAGCCAUAUACAUAAGUAGUUCAAUUACAUUAGUAAAAAACAAAGCUUGCUUGUGCAAGUAUCCAAGCUAUUAAAUCAACUUAAAGACAACCUAAAUGACUACUAAAUCAGAUUAAACCUUCGCUGAUCAAACAAAAAAGGAUUACAACCAAACUAGCAAAAGUCAACUAUUACAAAAGCUCUACAAUCGAAUUACACCAUGGAUAUUUGCAUGCUGCUGUUGUGUUGCCACAUUUUAACAUUCCUCCUUGGCUACAAGCAGCAAACUCCAAUUUUCUUCUUCAAAUACUCGAAUCUUGUAGCAGCUAGUGGCUUGGUCAGAAUGUCUGCAAGCUGAACCUCCGAGCAACAAUGAAUUAAGUUGACUUCCUUUGACAAUUCUACCUCCCUUACAAAGUGAUACUUAAUCUUGAAAUACUUGGUCUUGCCAUGAAAAAUAGGAUUCUUGGCAAUAGCAACAGCUGAUUGAUUAUCUACUUCGAUUUCUGUUGCAUCCUCUUAAUCAGCAUUCAAGUCACACAAAAGCUUCCUAAGCCAAAUGGCUUGAUUAACAGCAGUAGCAGCUGCAAUAUACUCUACCUCUGUAGUGGAUUGAGCUACUGUCUGUUGUUUCUUAGAGCUCUAACAAAAAACUCCUAAACCUAGAGUGAAGAAGUAGCCCGAUGUGCUCUUCAUAUCAUCAGCUGAGCCAGCCCAGUCACUGUCUGAAUAGUCAACCAGCUUCAGCUCCUUAGCUCUUUCAAACUUCACUCCAUAGCUUAAGGUCCCUUUGACAUACCUUAAGACUCUUUUAGCAGCUUUAAAAUGAGCUACAUUGCAGCAUACAUGAUGUCUGGCCUUGUUGUUGUCAAGUAAAGUAGGCAACCAACCAGACUUCUAUAGCUCUUCUUAUCCACACGAUCUUGAUCACUGUUGCUUGAGAGUUUUUCUCCUAGUGCCAUAAGAGUGCUAGCAGGCUUGCAAUUUGUCAUGCAAAACUUGCUUAAAACUUUCAAUGCAAAAUCUUGUUGGCUUAUAAAAAUACUAUGCUCACUUUGAUUCACUUCCAUACCAAGGAAGUAGGUCAUCAAGCCUAAAUCAGUCAUCUCAAAAACAUCUUGCAUCUGCUUCUUGAAUUCUUCAAUCAACUUACCUCUACAACCAGUAACCAACAAGUCAUCCACAUACAGAGACACAAUUAGCAAGGUUUCCUUUUCAGCCUUCUUCACAUAGAGUGUAGGCUCAGUAAUGCUUUUCUCGAACCCCAGCCUUGACAAUUAUGCAUCAAUCCUGUCAUACCAGGCCCUUGGAGCCUGUUUUAGGCCAUACAAAGCCUUCUUGAGCUUAUAGACCUUAUGCUCUUCACCAGGGACCUUAAUUCCAUCAGGUUGCUCAACAAAGAUCUCUUCCUUGAGAAAUCCAUUUAGAAAAGUUAAUUUAACAUCCAAUUGAUGUACUUUCCAUGCUUUUGAGUAGCCAAGGAAAACAAUAACCUUAUGGUGUCCAACCUUGCAACUGGUGCAAAGGUUUUAAAGAAAUCGAUGCCAUGCUAUUGACUGUACCCCUUCACAACCAACCUAGCUUUGUGCUUGUUCAGUGACCCUUCUGCAUUGUGUUUGGUCCUGAACACUCAUUUUACACUAAUUACCUUUCUGUUUGCUAGUCUAUCAACCAACUCCCAUGUGUCAUUUUUAUGGAUCAUUCUGAAUUCAGCCUCCAUUGCUUCUUUCCAACAACCCUCUCUUGCAGCCUUAUUAAAGCAGAAAGGCUCAACAAUGGUCAUACCACACCUCUCAUAGAUGUCCAUUAAGGUUCUAGUAUCUCUGACAGGUGCAUCAUCAUAUCAUUCUCAGUUUCAGCUUCAAUUUCAACAUGUUGCCAAUCAAGAUCAUGCUAGUCUUGCUCAGACAAACUUGCAUCUGUUCCAUCUCAUUUCCAACAGCUCCCUUCAUUGAAUUUCACAUCACUGCUCACAACAAUCCUCUUAGUAGAUGGAUCAAAGAUCCUAUACCCUUUCUUCACACUGAUGUAGCCAACAAAGACUCUAGGUAUAGACUUCUUCUUUAGCUUAGUUCUCUUCUUAGCUGGCACCAGUGUAUAUUAUAUACAGCCAAACACUUUCAAGUGUGAGACAGUUUGCUUGUGUCCAAACCAAGCUUCAAAUGGUGUUUUUCCUUUAACUACAUUAGUUGGCAGCCUGUUUAGCAAAUACACAGAGGUAUUUACUGCCUGAGCCCAAAAAAUGUUAGGCAUUUUGCCUUCAAACAACAGGCACCUGGCCAUAUCGAGAACACUCAUGUUCUUUCUUUCACAAACACCAUUCUGCUGUGGUGUGUAGAUGGUGGUUAAUUGGCGUUGAAGUCUAGCUUCAUCAUAAAUCUUCUGAAACUUUUGAGACACAUACACACUCCUAUUAUCUGACCUCAAAAUCUUAAACUUGCAACUGGCUUGAUUCUCAGCUAGUGCCUUGAACUUGCAGAAGAAGUCAACCGCAUCUGACUUUUGUUUCAAAAAGCUCACCCAACAAAAUCUGCUGCAAUCAUCAAUGAACAAUGCAAAAUACCUACUGCCAUUCAAAGAAGAAGUCUUCAUGGGUCCACAAAUGUCAGUAUGAACCAAUUGAAGCCUCUCUUGAGCUCUCAAACCUUGUUGACAGGAAAAGGCAGUCUGGUCUACUUGCCAAACUGACAGACUUCACAAACAUCUUUCCUAGGCUCAAUCUUGGACAUGUCUUCAACUAGGCUCAUCUUGUGCAGCAAACUUAGUGACUUAUAGUUCACAUGCCUCAGCCUCUUGUGCCACAAACAUGAUUUAUCAGCCAGAGCUGUAUGUGCCUUUUCUUCUAGCCGAUUCACAUCUAAAAUGAAGGACCUAUCAUGCAUGGCUACUUUCACUAGCCCUUUAUCAGAGGGAUCUUUGAUUACACAUGCCUUAUCUUCAAAGAUAAGAGAGUACCCCUUCUCCAACAAUUGACCAACACUGAGCAAAUUCUGGUCAAUGGCAAGUACAAAAAGAACUUCUGAAAUGGUUUUGUUACCAAACUGAGUGCAAAUCACAGCUUUGCCUUUUCCUUUGGCCUCGAUGAACUCAUCAUUCCCAAUUCUGACUUUGGACAUAAGGCUGGUGUCUAGCUCCUUAAACAUGCCUUUAUCUAAAGCUAUGUGAUGAGUGCAGCUACUGUUAAUCAGCCAAUUUUUACUGACUUUGCUUGAACUUGUAAAGCAAGAAGCAGUAAAGGCAUGCUCCUCUUGAGAUUGCACAUUUUAAACAGCUUGAGAUUGAUUCUGCUGUUGUGGUUGUAUCUUUGCCUUGUUCUUACAUACCUUUUCAAUGUGGCCUAGUUGCUUGUAGCAUCUACACUAAAUGUUAGGCCUGUACCAGUAAUAUUUUUCUAAGUGAGUGGUCUUUUUGCAAUGAGUGCAUGAUGGAAACUUCUUUUUAACAGCAUCCUUCUUCCCUUUUUCUUUCUUUUCUGUCCAAGGCUUCUUGCCUUUGUAACUUGAGCUCGAGCUUGAGCUUUCUCUGCUCCUGGCCUAAAAAGCUCCUUCAGAAUGCUCCUCCAUUCUAUUUGCUCUUCUCUGCUCUUGUCCAUAGAGAGUAUUUAUCAGCUCUAUCAAGAGUAUAGCUAAUAGGUCCCUCGAGUCUUCCAAAGAAGAGAUUUUUGACUCAUACUUCUCUGGUAGAGUAGUAAUGACCUUUUCAACUAUCCUCUUGUCACUAAACUCAUCUCUAAGUAGUCUUAUAUUGUUGACUGUGGCCAUAAUCCUGUCAGCAUACUGCUUGAUGGUCUCAGACUCCUUCAUCCUCAGAUUCUCGAAGUCCUUUCUCAAGUUGAUCAGCUGCUGCUGUCUGGUCUUGUUUGACCCUUGAAGCUCUUCUUUGAGUCUGUCUCAGGCCUACUUUGGAGUGUCACAAGCCACUAUUCUUGUGAAGAUCACAUCUGAAACUCCAUUUUGAAGGUAUGACAUAGUCUUAUACUUUUUUGGCACAGUCCUUAUUGUGCUGCUUGAUUUAAGCUAUAGUUGGAUUAGCUCUCAGAGGUGGUGGCUCUGUGUCAGUUAGAACAACACUCCACAGAUCAUGAGUCUGCAGAUAUGUCUUCAUUUUCACAUCUCAAAUGUUGUAGUUUUCACCAGCAAAGACUAGUGGUGGUGGUGGUGAAAAACUCAUCCUUUUGCAGCAACUAAACAACCCAACAAAGACAGCUUUUGUUUCUUUUCUUUCAAGCAUGAAUCACUCAAAGAAUCAACACAAACCAACACACAGCAAAGGCCCUCAAAGAUGAGAGGCUCUUGAUACCAUUUGUUGAGUUUUAAAUCAAUAACUAAAUAUCGAAAAUAAAAUUUUGUGUUUGAAAUAUGAAAGACAGAAGCAAAAUUCAGAUGUUGGAUGAUGAAGAAAAUAUUAACUUCAUUACUUGAAUAAGAAAAAAAUCCAUAUACAUAAGUAGUUUAAUUACAUUUGUAAAAAAUAAAGCUUGCUUGUGUAAGUAUCCAAGCUGUUAAAUCAGCUUAAAGACAGCCUAAAUGACUACUAAAUCAGCUAAGUACAUGAUUAAACCUUAGCUAAUCAAACAAAAAAGGAUUACAACCAAACUAGCAAAAGUCAACUAUUACAAAAGCUCUACAACCGAAUUACACCAUGGACAUUUGCAUGUUAUUGUUGUGUUGCCACCUUUUAACAGUUUUCUUACAUGGAAAGUGGUUUGGAAUGAAUCUAAUAGUGGUUAGAUAUGGGUUAUUGCCAGCAGCGGUUUGGAAUGAAGAGCUUACAUGUAAAAAAAUAUGUUUAUGUGGCUUAAUUUCAUUGGAAGGGAUGAUAUAUGUUGUGGUAAGAAGAGCCUAUCUAAUAAUUUGUCUAUUUAUACACCAUUUUGAUCCUAUCAAACUAGGAAAGCUUAACAGCAACUAGUAUCCUACAAAAUUAGAAAUCUUAUAUGAUAUAUACACUAUAUUUGAUAUAUAUGGUCCACCAAAACUCAAACACUCACCCACAUUAUCACUUUAUCCGACACUCCCCUUCAAGUUGGUGAAUGGAUAUCCUCCAUUUCGAGCUUGUUGACUAUGUCUUGGAAUACAUUAUUUGACAGUCCCUUAGUAAGUAUAACUGCUUGUUGAUCCUUAUUGAGAAGGUACAUGUAAGUCUGUUGUUGAGUUUCUCCUUAAUAAGAUGUCUAUCUACUUCAUCAUGCUUGGCUUUAUUUUGUUGCACUGGGUUAUGUGCAAUGUUGACGGUCGAUUUGUGUGUAAGUGUUUCAGUUUUGGUGGACUAUAUAUAUUAGAUAUAGGGAAUGAAGGGUGACCUAACCAACAAUGAUAAAGCCAGACUUUCUAGGUAUUGAACAUGAAAAUUUUGGAAAGGAAUGAUGUAGAUGGGGAAGUUUCAAUUCCAGCGCUUUCACCUUGGCCAUCCAAGUAAUAAAGACCAUCUCUCACUAGCUUUUUCAAUCAUUCUCCUUAUAUCUUGUUCGUGAAAUAGACAAUGCAAAGGAAAAAAAAAACAGUUACUUAGCACUUAGAAUCUUUUAGUGAGUUUUUUUUUUAAAAAAAGAUUUGCAAAAAGUUAGGAUCAUGGAGAACAUUUUUUAGAGUAAGAGAGUUAUUUAUCCAUCAAACAUGGUAAUCUUUUUGUGGCUAGACAAAGGGGUAUAAGAAGAAAAAUAUUUGAAAGAACUUAUAUGAUCUGUGGUUUUAGAAUCUAUCCCAUAUCAGUGGAGAAAAUUUUGAGGUAUUAUCAACACAAGUGGAAGAAGAGAUACUUGAAAACUCCAAGGAACGUUUUUCUCUAUGGAUCAUUUUAGGGUUGCAACAUCCUCACUAUAACUCAUCUGUAUGCACUGAUAGGAUCAUUUUCCUGCCACAAACCUUGCAAGAGACUCAAAUAUUUCGUAAUAGAUCGAUUCCCUUGUUUGGUUCCUGAAAUUUCUUCUUUAACUUCAUAGAUUUGGGUAACAUCAUGGACCUUUACAUAUGUCUGCCAAAUAGCAUCCCAAAUGUCUUUGGCAAAGGCAAGGAACAUAUGUGUAUCACUAAUCUCUAAAAGCAUCGAAUUCCAUAACCAAGACAUCACCGUGGAAUCUUGUCACUCUCAUGCCUCAAAUUUAGGAUCUCCUUUUGGAGAACCUGUGCCCAACAAGAGACUUCAUUUCCCUUUACCCUUCAAGAACGUAUGAAUCAGUUGUGACAAUUUCAGAUAAUUCUUCCUGAUGAAUCGAUAAGCUGGUUGGAUCUCCAGUUCCAGUGAUUGAAGCAGCUACGUGUUGAAUCAUGGUAGUUUCCAAGAUAGGACUAGUUUCAUUUGAAUCUGACAUGAUUGCUUAGAAAUGCGGCAGGUAAAAGGAAACAAUGGACUUGGGAAUAAGAUGAACAGAAGAAGCAAGAAUUCAACAUUAUGGUAUCCAUAGAGUUCAUCUCAUUUAUGUUUCAUUUGAACCCUAUUUUAGUUUUAAGCAAUACCGCACAAGACCAACAACAUGUUAAAAGGUUAGAUACUUUAUAUACGGUUACUUCAAUGUUGAUAAAAAAUAAUGAAGUUUGAAAGAAGAUAAAACUAAAUGAUUUCUGCUUUUGUUUAGACUGUUUAAAUUAAACUAAGAUAAAACCAAAAUAUAUGCUUGUAAAAAAUUAUGGCACUUCCAAAACUAAAACUAUUUAGAGGGGAAAAUGCAUAUUAGUCAUCCAAAUUGAGUUGCAAUGCCAUUGCCUUGUAUUUAAAGAGACUUGUGAACCUAGCAAGAGGCUCACAUCCCCAAAGUAUAUGGAUGUGGUUACUUGCUCCUCUUCCUAUGAACAAGACUUUAUAAUGGACAUAUGCAAGUAAUUUGAAUUGUAAGAAUAGAGGAAAAUGUUGCAAAAACAAAUGAUUCUAAGGUCAUAAUUAUAAGCACAAAAAAAAAGAAAAAAGAAUCAUACUUAUGAUUGGUAAUUAGGUAAUAGUGGUGUGUGUGGAUUUUUCUAAAUAAUCACAUUAAUAAAUAGCCAUCAAAGUGAUCAAGAAAUUAAGCCUUGUGCUAAUAUGAAAGGCUUAAAUUAUUUUACAUAAUUAUGAUGCUAGUUUCAACAGUUUAACUUUAAAAUCUAUGUGGAAUAAGGUAGCAAAAUCUUUCUUUGAUGCUUUUAGAGCCAUGGCUAUAGUCAAAAGCAUAGUUUGUUGUCAUUUUAUUGGGAUUCAGCUCAAUGUUGCAUGGACUUCUUUUAGCCCAUGGGUUGAAUCUUUAGUCCUCAUUUGGGUUUAUGUUGUUUUUUCUAGCAUUUUGGUUCACAACCCAUUGUUUUGAUUUUUGUUAUGAUAUUAAUUUUGUUUUAUUUCAAUAUUUGAAUUGAAUUAAUACUGCAAUUCUAGAUGCUUGUUUCUUCAUCUUUCACCUAUUAACUAUUAUGUCAUUGUCAACUAAGCCAUUGUUUAGUGGAAAAGGUUUUCCGUUCAUUUGAAGUUUCAGUUGACAUAAGAUCUAGGGUUUGAGUCUAAGACAACCCAGUUCACCCUCCCCCUUAUUAAAAAAAAUAAAAAAACUAUCAUGUCAUUGUUUUUUUUCUGUGUUUAUGGUUGGAUAUCUGGCAUUGCUGGUUUAUGCUCAUACCAUACAUUUAAAACUUUUUGGAUAGAUUUCACAGAAAUUAUAUGAGCCAUUCAUCAAAGAAGUUUUUCUAUUCAAGGGUUGCUCAACAGGAUUCAUUAAGCAAAUUGUAAGCCAUUUUAUUGCUUAUCUAAAGUAGCUUUUCCUUUAGGAUAGGCACUAUUGUUUUUCAUUUCACUCUUUUACAUCAAUAGGUUAAGUUAUUGUCAUGGAACUUGUCAAUAUUGUUGAUCAAUCAUGGAUUAGGCUAGUUCUCCUACUUGCAUAAGGGCCCCAUUUUUUCCAAGACCCUUUUGUUUUCACAUGCUGCAACUUGUCAUGGAACUAUCUUUGUUUUAGAUUAAUUUUCAAAAAAAAAAAUGCAUUGCUCAAAGCAUUAGCUCAGCUACAUGGUCAAUCAUGAGCGGUGUAUCGGUUUGGAGCAUAUUUAUAGCCAUUAAGCAUAUUUUUUGGCCUAAAUGUAAAUAUUCUUUCAUCAUCCUUUUGUGCAAAUAAAGAAGAGGAAAAGGGAAAAAAAUGUGAAAUUGAAAAUAAAGAAGUCUAUUUCUGCCUAUUUGACCAAUGAAAUAGGAAGUCUACUAUGCCGAAUAUGAAUGGGAUAGAAUAGCCAUUCUGGCCAAUCAAGUACACCACAAGUUUUUGGCUCUGUAGCAAUUUUUCUAAGAAAUGCAUCGUUCCUUGUGGUUUGUUAGGCAAUUAAAGUCCAUGAGGAGUUUUUCCUUCCAGGGGAAGUGAUUAUUGAACAGGGAAAUGUAGUCGACCAACUCUAUAUUGUUUGUCAUGGAAAACUGGUAAGAUUUUCUUCAACCAGCUCUAUGUUGUUGUCUUUAGUUAUGUUUUCAAAAGAAUGUCUAUCUUACAUAAACUUUUUUACUAGUUAGUUUACUAUCCUUAUAAAGUAUCUACUGAUUGAAUUUUAGAGAUCUUGAUUCAGUUCUUUUUUCCAGUUAUGAUUGCUGAUUACUUCCACUAAUGACUUUUUAUAUUGGCAUCUUCAACAUCUCCUGGGCUCAACAUUAAGAAACUCUUGUUGUUUUACGGAAACAUAAUGCCAAAUUUCAUAUAAGAAUAUAUAUAGAUAUAGAUAUAGAUAUAGAUCAGUUAUAUGUUGAAAGCCUGAUAUUCUAAUAUCUAAGGCUAGGGAACUCAAAGAUUAACACUUUUCUUGGAUACUACUGUUACUGCCUGCAGCAAGAGUUCUUUAUAUAGCAUUAAAUCCGUAAGAAAAUAUAUUUCUUAUCCUUAAAAUAACUUUAACCGAACCUCCCCAAAGUAACAUGAAAAAAAGAGCUAAAAAAGAAAGAUAAACCCUUUAAAAGUAAAUUCAUUAUGGUUAGGUAAAAGUAACCAUUUUGUUGAAUCUUGCUUUCUCGUAUUGACCUUCACCUCGUGCAUGAAAAAAGUGGAAUUCCACGGAAGCACAAAUUUUAACUUUUUAUAUAAGAAGAUUGACAUUUCCUAAAAAACACCCCACUUGAGGAAGAAAAGCACAAUAUGUUUACUAGAUAUGUUAUUUUUUAUUAGGUUAAAAGUUUUAGACCAAGCUGUUGUAAAAGUUGUUAUAAAUAGUAUCCUAAUUUAAGAUGUUGUGAUCGACAUAUUAAAUUUGUGUAUAUAGUUGAAAUUUAGAAAAAGUUGAUAACUUUUAUAUUUACUAGUGUCUUCUUUAAUUUUUAAUUUGUAGGCCUAGGUAGUUGACAGUUUACAAAUAUGCACAGGUGGAAGUAGGGAGAGGCAAAAAUGAUGAAACUGGGGAUCCUCUCAUGGAUCUCCAAACUUAUAGCUCUUUUGGUGAAGUUUCUUUCCUCUGCAACACUCCUCAGCCUUACACAAUCCAAGUUCGUGAGUUAUGUAAGGUUUUACGAAUUGAUAAACGAUCAUUUAUGGAGAUCAUUGAGAUAUACUUUUCUGAUGGAAGGAUUAUCUUGAACAACCUUCUUGAGGUGAAUUAACAUCAAUAACAAUAAUCUUCUUUUCCUGCAUCUUUUGGAUCAUCAUCUUUACAUACUGGUCCAUCAUAAUGAGAGUCUUUUUUUUUUUUUUUGUAUUAACACUAUUGGCAGCAAAAACAUUCAACUGCCUUUCUCUAGUGUACAACUGUUACAUGAGUGGGUUACUGAGGUUUAUCUAAACAAAUCUAUUUUUAUAUAGGGAAAAGAUGCCAAUAUGAAAAAUGAAAUAUUGGAGUCGGAUGUUACCCUUUAUAUUGGAAAGCUUGAAUCGGAGCUAGCUGCAAGAUUGAAUUGUGCUGCCUACAAUGGAGAUUUGCAUCGACUGAAACGUCUCAUUGGAGCUGGAGCGGAUCCCAAUAAGACUGAUUAUGAUGGAAGAUCACCCUUGGUAUGGUUUCUUGUGAGCUACCAUUAAUAUUUUUAAACAGUUGCUCUUCUAUACUCUUUUCCUAUCUUAUACAAAGCACUGCAUGUAAUUCAUAGGAUUAUCACUAAGCUGAUUAUUUUUUAAUGUUUAUAUCUGAAUUAUUAACUGUUUAGUAUUUCAUCAAUCAUCAUCCUAAUUUUACCUAAAGAGGGAUGCAUUAUUAGAUACUAUAUAAGAUUUAGUAUUUUCUUUCAAGUGCUAUUACUUUAGUUUCCAGUACGUAUAAGUAUCAUUAAAUGAUGUCAUGCUUUUUGCAUCAUCUUCUUUUUAAUAUAACAAAUCUUGACCUUCUUUUAGGGUGAUCUUAAGUGUUUUCUUUUACAGCACAUUGCAGCAUCCAGAGGAUAUGAAGAUAUAACCGGUUUUCUUAUUGAACAAAAGGUAGACCUGAACAUAUCAGGUAACUUUCUUAUAUGAUAUUUCUCUUUAAUUUACCUCAAGAAUUGUUCACAUAUUUUCAAAGUAGAUAUUGCUUCUGAGGAAAUCUCCUAACAAUAAUCAGAUAAGUUUGGGAACACUCCUUUACUUGAAGCCAUCAAGCAUGGGCAUGACCAAGUUACUUAUUUACUUGUUCAAGCGGGAGCAUUACUUGCAAUGGACGAUGCUUCUUCUUUUCUCUGUAUGACUGUUGCAAGAAGGGAUUUGGAUCUCCUAAAACGUGCUUUGGCUGGUGGCAUCGAUCCAAAUGCCAAAAGCUAUGACUACCGAACACCACUUCAUGUUGCUGCCUCAGAAGGGCUAUAUUUUGUGGCCAAAACACUUAUUGAAGCAGGAGCUAGCGUUUUGUCAAUAGACAGGUAUAAUUUAUAGAUUGAUCAGGUGUUUUAAAGACCAAAAUAGGUCAUGUGUUCCUAUAUUCUUCUUUGCAUUUUUAUGAUCAUUUUUUUCAUUGAGAAAACUUGUUCCUUCGAGGGUUCAUUUAUGCAUGGUUUAACCUCUUAUGUUUCUCAUUUUCCUGGACUUGGUACAUACCUCUAAAAGUACUUGAUUCUGAGUCUUGGAACUGUGAUUUUAGAACUCUAGAUAUAAUUAUAAAUAGUUGUUUGUUCAUAUAAUCUGUCCAAAAGUUGAAUGAGCCAUGUGUAGCUUAUCACUAUUGUAGCUCAGAGCAAUUCAGUUUUUCAGAUAUAGCCCUUCGAGGGCAAUUUUUAGUGUCAAUAUUCCAAAAAUUAAUAUGAAAAUUUCAAAAGAAGAAUCAUGUUUGUGUGCUAACAGUGUUUAACAGUUUGGGUUUUAUAUCGCCUUUGCCACAAAAUUUUCUGGAAGUUGAGUUUUGUUAAGCCAAUUCAUGUUUGUAGAUGGGGAAAUACUCCAGUUGAUGAUGCCCGCAUAGGUGGAAAUAGAAAUUUGAUUGCAUUGCUUGAAGCUGCAAGAGCUUCUCAAAUGGCUGACUUCUUUGAUCAUCCUCAACAAAUUCGAGGUACAAGCUAACCUUUGUUUGUUGCAUGCCUUGUUUUGUGAGCUUUUGUUCUAAGAAACAUUCACUUGCCAUGAAAACUCAUUCUCUAAAAUUAAAGUUCUUAACCGCCAUCCCAGAGAAUAUUUUGCCUUCGAGCUAGGAAAUUAUCCGCUAAUCAGUACAUAGCUAAUUUUGAUCCUAACACUGGUCCCUGAACAGAUUUGCUCUUCAAACAAUACUACUCUUCUGUUAAAUUCUUAAAUACAUAAAUUUUCAAAGAGAUCUUCUCAUUUACUCUGUAAUGCAUUUUGUUUAAUGGCCAAAAAUUUUCAUUUAUUUUGUUGCCUUUGAAUUGCAAUCAUCUUCAAUCUAUUCUUUAACUUCACUAUAAACUAGAUACGGAAGUUGUGAAAAAAAAAUAUAUGUUGUUAAUCUUUUGUUACAUAUUGGGUCAUCUUCCUAAUAAAAGGGCAAGAUGAAGAGUAUUUUUUUUGGUAUCUUCCAUUUUUCUAUUGAUAUAUCUUUUCUCUUCAAUCUUCCCUUUUUUUCCCUUUCCCUUUCCUUGUGGAAGAACCUUUUGGACUGUAGUAUUUGAAGAUUAAUGAAAAAGAAUACCAACAUGGAAUAGGAAAAUAAAUUAGCAAUCAUCCCCUGAAUAUAUAACUUAUAUAUUUAACCAGUAGCUCACUUAUUCCGUUUCCACAUUAAACAAUUUAUAGGGAGUAUCAUGAAUGUUUUGUUUACAUAGUUUGUGAGACUUCUGUCUAAAGUCUAUUAGAUUUGAUCAUCAAGCAUAUGAUCUUUCUAGUUUAUAAAUGCGAUGUUACGGAUCAACUUAUUUUGUGACAAAUUUAAGCAAAUAAUGUUGGCAAUAACAGGGGAGAUGUGGAAGAAAAAAUGCACAGUUUUCCCAUAUCAUCCAUGGCAUGAAAAGGAGAAGAAAAGACAGGGAGUGGUGUUAUGGGUGCCGCAAAGCAUGAAUGAACUCGUCAAGGAAGCCAAGGAGCAGUUACAAUGUGGUGAUGGUUAUUGCUGCAUUUUGUCCCAGGAUGGUGCUAAAGUUCUUGAUACCAGUAUGAUUAGUAAUGAUCAAAAGCUAUUUUUGGUUAAUGGAUCGUAAGACACUUCACGUAUAGUUCUUUAGCAACUUCAUACACACACACAACACACUAUCUGAUAUUUUACGAGCAAGUAAUAAAUCAGAAUACUACUUUGAAGUUUCACUUUGAAUAUAUAUUUUUCCUUAUAUAAUUAAUGUAUUUGUUAUGGGUGGACAUUAUAUCAUUAUUUGAAGAAAAGUUGGCCUCCUUUGAAAGCAACAAAUCAAUAUUGAUAUAACCCACAACGUUUACGACAAUAAUGAUAUCACCCCCAUUCACAUUUACUCACAGCCAGUAUUACCUAAAACAAGAGGAAUUUAUGUACCCAAAAGAGAGGACGAUAAAGGAAUUUAAACCGUGAACACCAUUAUGAUGUUAUUCCAUUUAUGUAACUUUUGAUCAUGGUGCUUUACUGUCCACACAAGAGUUUCCAGAAACUAUAAUAUAUACCAUCGGCCCAAAGUAUAAAAAGAAGGUUGAUGGUGGCUAGCAAUCCUAGCGAUGCCUUGUUUGAGGCCAUCCUAAUCCAGCAUUACCAAUGUUCCCGGUUGGCUGUAAUGGUUCUGUCAAGCCCUUUGUGGUGCUACCAAGAGCCUCCCCCUGCAUCCAAUUUAAGUUUCAAACAGUAGGAAAAUGGUGGUUAUAUAUGACUUUAUGACAAAAGUGUCAAGUAUAAUCGAAGAAGCAUUUUUCUCUAACGUCUUAAUCUUACUUUUUUCCUUUUUAAAAAUAAUUCUUUCAUCCAAUCAACACGAGAAAUUAGUGUCAGUCAUGACUGAUAAAUAUCAUCUAGGAUAAAAGGUUUCAUACCCCUCAAUAUCAUCAUAGAUGUAAGUAUUUGUCUCAUGUACCACAUGUAAUAAGAUCAACACUCACCUCUUUCCAGCCCAUGCCUUCCAUAAUUCGUCUGGCAUAACUACCAGCCCCAAAUGACAUGUUCAAGGCUUCAGCUUUGGCAUCUUCUAUACAGGUAGGAUCAUUAUCAUGAUCACUUCCUGCAUUCUUUUGCCCUGGACCCAGACCAAAGCCACCACGCAAGGCUCUUCUCUCAGCAGCUCUAUCACGAUAUGCAUGGCUUCCCUGCAAGAGACAAAGGAAAAGGCAGAGUGUGAAAGGAAUCAGCAUAGCGCACACAAACUCCUAUAAAAAAUGACAACCAAUAUAAUUGAGUUCCAAGACACUAACAAAAAUUACCUCCAGUCAACAUAUGAAUUUUCUUAUAGAAAAAAACUGAUUUCUUUUUAAUUUCUUCUUUUGGGUGAAACAAGAAAGAAAUAACAGUUAAGUGGGAAUAGGUAUAUAAAUUGAGCCUCCAAAUUUGAUGUAAAGGUUUUGAGUGUGUGAUGACCAUUAGGCAGUCUCUUGGCAACAUAAAUGGUAUUGGAAUUAAAUGAAUUUUUAACAAGCCAAAUCAGGAAAAAUGGACUACAUGUGAAGAUCGUAUAUUUUCCCAUGAAACUUUGGAAUGUUUACUUGAUAUCAUCUCAUUGGGGUGUGAAUGAGAUGUGCACACAAGCUACACGAGUUUGACUUGAAAAACAAAAAAAAGAUUCUGGUUUAGUAAUUUUUGAGUCAAGCUCAAGUAGCUCAAGCUAUUGAGUAAACCAAAUUCGAAUAUCUUAAUAAUUGACUCAAGUAGUUUGCAAGCCUACUUGAGUCCUCUAGUUUUGUUUUUUGGUAAUAUUUAAAAAUAUCAAUUUGAGCUCACACAUAAAAAUCGAGUUUGAAGUUGAUCAUAAGAAUCAAUCUCAUUUUUUACACAUAAACGAGUUUAAAUGAUCCUAACCAAAAGAGCUCAAACAAUCUUUUUUUUAAUCUUGAAUCGACCUUGAGCUAUAAAAGUGAGAUUUGAGCUUGAGCCAAAUUCCAACCCCAAAUUUUGAGAGGAGCUCGAACUUCUUAUAACUUGAGCUCAGCUCAGCUUAAUUACACCCCAAAUAAAUACUGUCUUCAACUUCAAUAGAAUACCAAUUCUUUCAUUGUUAUUAAAUUUCUUAUACUUUCCUAUCUACUUAUAGUUUUUAAUUAUAUUCUUCACAUGCAUAACUACAGAAAAAGAACUUGGAAUUAAACUUCACGAAAGCAAAUGCUACCUUCAAUGAUGUAGAGAGCUGAUCUGACAACAUAGACAAAUCCUUUAAGCCUUUCUCUCUAGUUGCUUCUGAUUUUUGCUUUUGUCUAGAUUUGAACUGGACGAAGCUUUUCUUAUUGACUAAUAAAUCAGGGAAGCCCCAAUCUUUUGUUGGAUCAGAAGAAUCAUAUGUUGACAAGGAAGCUAAAUACCUUGGACAUGGAGUUCGCAAUUUGUACACUUGUCCUGUAAUAAAUAAUGGGGGAGGGGGUACAACCUUACAAAUUAGGAGCACUAACAUUAGAUUUCAUGAAGAGAGUUGUUUUAGAAGAAGACAUAUUUUCCUUACUUCCUCCCGAUCAAAACCCAAGAAUCACCCUUUGUUUGGUUCGCAAAAGUUGUUCUAGAGAAGUGGCAGAUGCAAACCUGUUCUAACUCGUACCAGAUCAAGAUGAACUUCACAUAUAGGAGCAGUUUUUAAUAGACCACCGCCAAGAGGCACGGAGGGGUGAACUUUAGCCGACCGCUUCACCAGCCGACCUAUCAGUCUAGCCACUUGCUUUUUUCCAUCCUCUUUUGGUUUUGUCACCAUACUCCAAUCCCACAAAUCCACAACUGGAAAUUCUAGCAAGGGCUCAUCUUUGCAACGUGUGACUUGUCCGUAUUGGGCUCGCCAGUUUUCUUCAUCCCAUGUAUCACCUGAAUGAAAAUUUUCCAGUGUGUUGAUUUAGACUUGUGGAAUUUGUCCCACAGGAAUCCCUUAAGUGGUAAAAUUUGUAGGCAAAACUGAAGUAGAUGUUUAUUUCAAAUAAAUUGGAUAUCAGUCAAAUGUAACAAUAGCAACAUUGUCGCAAGACCUUCAUAUGGGACAACUUCACUUGAACCGCCCAAACCAAAGCUUUCCUCUGGGAUCCAUUCACCCUCUUCCAACUCGUACAUCUCAUCAUUUCCUGCCCCUCAACAGAACACCAUUAGAUAAACUUCAGAACAUAACCAACUUUUUACAAUCAUCUUCAGAAGCUAGCAAGCGUUUAGAAAUUUCGAACAAACAAAUUUGUGACAAACCAUCAGUAGGAAACUUGAAAUUCUCUUUUUCGUCUGUUUCCAACGAAAUACUUGCAUCAGCAGCAGAAUUGGCAGCUAAGUUAUACCCAGAAAGAUAAAGGUCAAUGAGUGUGUCUUCUAACCUGAAUCAAGAUGAUACCUCAGUAAGAAAACAUGUAAUCAACUAGUUCAACCAAAAUAUAGGAUAUAAAAUGUCAGAAGUAGCAAACCACUCUGAUGGUGGUGGUGGCUGCUCAGAUGCUUGAGCACUGGUGUCCUCUAUUGGACCUGGUAAUCAGAAGUACCGUGAAUUAGUUUAAAGCACUUAUUUUUGAGAAAGAAUCCAAUCAAUAGAACAUUAUUUACAGAAGUAGAACUUAUUUUUGAGAUGAAAUUUUGUACUAAUGAAUCAGAUUCACAGAUUGCACCGCUCAAAGAAAAACUUGUUCCUUCAACUACCCUUCAAUCAUUCCACAGCAUAAUAUUGAGUAAAGAGAAAUUUUACCUGUACUAGUAGAUUCAUCAGCAACAUUUAUAGUAGUAUUCUGAGCAUCAACUUCAUUGCCCUGAGACGAAGAGCGAUUAUACUCGGGACCAUUAUAAGAAGCAGUGGCACAAGGCUCAUCUAAAACAGAAUUAUCAGCCACAGCUCCUUCCUGCAAAAUCAUUUUGGAAUCAAAAACCUAAAAUGAAAAGCAUACCGAACAUAGGAUUAAUCAUCCAGAUAAAAGAAGGUAUGAGCUAACUACCAUGUCCAAAAGCACAUAAUUUCCAUUCUCAAAUGUGUAAUAGAGACCAUCUCUACUGCUAUAGUACCAUCCGGCAUCAGGGUCAUGGUAAAAUCCACUACUGCAACAAAUCAAACGAAGGCGUACGGUGCCAAAAUGAACAAAAGAUCAUUGAGAGAGACAGAGAGAGGAAAAAAACCCAAUUGUAUGACAUAUUGGGAUAGAAUCAUCGAAGUUUAAAGGGAAAAAAUCUACAAUUAAUUUCUCAAAUAUAAAAACUAAUUUUAUUAAAAAUGAGAGGAAGAAUUAAUAGUAAUAGUUUAUAGAUAUAUAAAAUAGAAAAUUUGAAGUAAAUAAAUAAAUCAACCUGGCAUGAAAAUAGAGGUGAGUUUGAGGAUCCCAUACAAAAGAGCAAUCGCUGCUGCUCUGCAAGUCCAACUCAGUGGAAACAGCCAUUGUUUUAUCACUUUCUUUGUCCUUCCUUUUCAUGUGAAGAAAUUUAAUUUAUAGAGUACCAAAAUUGAAGGAACAAAAAGGAAAAGCGAGGGAUGUUAUUGUAAAGGCCCAAAUGGAGAAGAAAAGACCCACCCCAACUUUACAGUCAAAUAACUUAAUUCUCCAUGAAUGUGCAGAAAUGAAGCGGUAGAAAGAAAAUAAGAAUGUUUGAAAUGAUAUUUAACAUAGAAAAACUACUUUAAUGAAGAAGGGAGGUAACAGAGGCAGAAGCACAAGAGAAGCAGAAAGGAAAAUAACCAACAACACAAAAAAGGUUAAAAAACAUUAAAAAAUUUGUUGUUUAAUAAUAAUUAAAGACUAAAAUAUUAUAAUAUAAAUUAGGGUGAACAUUCGAUCGAAUCGAAUUGAAAAUUUUCGAGUUAAUCGAGUUUUCGAAUCUCAUUUUAUCAUCUUAAUUUUAUUUGAAAUUUUCUCGAAUCGAGUCGAGUGAGAUGGAAUUCGAAUCGAAUCGAAUAUAGUUGUUCGAGUUAAAUUUUAAAAAAUAAUUUUGGGUCAUUGUAACCAUUGUCACCCAUCGUAAUAAAAUUUAUCCACCUUAAUCAAUUUUUUUAUUAACUUUCAUCACUUCAUAAUUUAUUUAUUAAUUUUUUAUAUAUUGGUUAGCUUCUUUGCUUGCUUAGUUGUUUCAAUUAUCUUCAGAUUCUUGUCACUAUGUAUUUUAGAAUUAAAAAAUAUAUUAAAUGCAAAAAUAUGAUUUUUUUAAUAAAAGCUAUUUUAAAAACAAAAUGUGAAAUUGAUACCAAUAUAAAAUUUUAACACGAAUAUUUUAUGGCAUAAUUAAUAAUUCAAUUUUAAUAUAAAUAUNNNNNNNNNNNNNNNNNNNNNNNNNNNNNNNNNNNNNNNNNNNNNNNNNNNNNNNNNNNNNNNNNNNNNNNNNNNNNNNNNNNNNNNNNNNNNNNNNNNNGUAGAUAUAAAUAAAAUUAUUACUAUUUAUGUUUUGGUGAUUUUUUUUUUUGCAUAAUUUUUAUUUUUUAUUUGAGAGUAAAUGGUGAGAAGUAAAAGUUUAGGGGAAAAAUAAAAAGUUUUGGGGAAUAAAGGUUUGAGGGAAAGUAAAUAGGGGAGUAAAAUUUUGGAGGGAAAAUAUUAAAAAAAAUUGGAGGGGGGAGGGUUUGGGAUAGAUGGGAGGUGGGAUGGGAAGGGAAUAAAAGUUUUAGGGGAAAAGUGGGAGGGAGUAAAAAUUUUGGGGCAAAAUAAAAGGUUUUGGGGAGUAAAAUUUUGAGAAAAAAAAUGAAAGAGUAAAAUUUUGGUGGGAAAUGGAUUUUGGGUAGAUUGGGGGGUUGGGAGGGGAGUAAAAGUUUUGGAGGGAAAGUGGGAAGGAGUAAAAGUUUUGAGGAAAAAGUAAAAAGAUUUGGGAGUUUGGGGUAAAAAUGUAAAGUAUUAUAGUUUAAUAUUCGAAUUAUUCGAGUUAUUCGAAUUCGAAAACUCAACUCGAUUCGAACUCGAAAUUCGAAAAAAAAUUCGAGUUGAUUCGAAUAACUCGAUUAACUCGAAUAACUCGAUUCGUUUAACUCGAAAUUCGAUUUUUUUUUCAAUUUUUUCGAGUCGAAUCGAGUUUUGCUCACCCCUAAUAUAAAUAACUAUCUUGAUGGAAUUGUAUUUUACAUUUCUUUUGCUGACGAUAUAAGAGGGAGAGAUCCACCAAUAGAGUUAUAGUAAAUGCAUUUGUUUUCCUCUCCUCUCUUCACUUAAUUGCAUAAAAUAUAAGGAAAUAAAAUAAUUUUAAUCUCACUUACCAAAAACAUUAAUUAUGUGUAGUAUUAUAAUAAAUUGAAUAUUAUACAUUUUAAUUUACGCAUAACAUUAUCAAAAAUAUUUUCUUUCAUAUAUCUAGACUUGUUCAUGGGUCGGGCCACCCGAUCCGGUCCGAAGGUCUACUUUAAAAGUGGUAGGAUUUGAAUAAAAAUAUAGGCAAAAAAAAAGCAUAUUUAAAAACAAAUUGAGCCUCAAAUAAGGUAUUUUUUGUACCGGCCCGACCUGAAUUCACAAAAUGACAAAAAAAUCUACUAUUUUUAUUAUUUUAAAGCUAUUUUCUUGUUGUUUUCUCCCAAUUUUAUUAACUUUUCACUAUUAUGUUACUACUUGUUAAAUUACAUCUAUCUUAAUAUUAUUAUUCUCAAUCUUAUUUUUUAUAUAAAUUCAAGUCGGAAACACAAAACUUUAAUGCUUACUAUUGAAAUUUUUCUACCUAUUUAAUAUGUAUACAUCUUACCGGUAAAUAUAAUUGCUUUGUAUAUAUGAAUUCGGUAUUUUUUGGUGUUUUAAUUUAUAUUGCUUAUAGUAUAUACAUUUGUUAACUAGUAGGUGAUGCUUAUGUUGAAGGUGAUGCUUUGAGUGUGAGUUACUUCCUUGCUGGUGUAGCAGUCACAAUAGAAGGAUGUAGUUUACAUGCUAUUAAGUUCCCAACCAAAAGUAAGGGUUUAUUUCCAGAAUCAGUGGAGCAUGCCUUUCAAAACUGCUGUUCCAUUGUUAUACUUUAAGGCUGCUGAUCUCAAAUCCCUUUUCAUUGAUUAUUCCACUAGAGCUAUCAAAAUCAACAACCCAAUCCUUGCACAUCCCUACCUCACUAGUUUCCAACUAGGCAAAGCCAAGAAUCUAGAGGGUGUCCGAAUAAAAAUUAAGAAUAGAGAAUACUAAAACAAACCUACUGUGUUUGGACGAACAAGAAGCCCUUUGUCUUCAGCCCUGCACAACUAGCACGAGGCACUUCAUGAAACAUGGUCAUGCAGCUUUAAUAUUAUAUAUGGUGAAAACCUUGACUAGUGUAUACCAGUUUUCAGUAUGACAUAUUUCUCUAUUACUAACCAAUUCGCUUGGUCUCUGCUAUAGAAUCAUGUAAAGACCAGGCCAACAAAAUCCUAUGGAGUAAAAAGAAAGAAGAAACCCUACAAUCUAUGAAUACUAAAGCUUUCUAAACUUGAUAUUGAUGGACCGGUUCUAGAAAUAACAGCCCUCCAAAAAUAGGCGUAUGCCGCAAAGAGCGGCGAGCACACGGUAUUCUUUAGUAAAAGGCGAAAGAAUAGUUCGCUCUGUGCCCACCGGACGGCUCCGUGCUUUCAUUCAAGCCAUUUGGACAUUAUUUAUAAAAGUCGAUUGGGUUGCGCUUGCUUGUGUUCUAUUAUGGAAUUUUUCUCCAUUGGUUUUUCUGACUCUCAAGGCAAGCCGUUCUCCAUCAGUUCUCUAAAUUUCCGCAUCAUAAUCUCGUAAAUUAGCUGUUUUAAAUCUAUCACUGUUCCAUGUGUUUUACGUCUUUACUGACUGAUUGAUUCCCCAAGUUAAUGGUUCUGUAAGAUAUUCCUGCUUUACUGUAAGCUGAAAAUGCAUGUCGUGAACUAAGUUAUGCAAACUCAAUACCCACCAGAAAAUCAUUCUUGUAUCCUACUCCACAGGUUACUCAUUCACAUUAAUCAUAGAGAAUAGGAAUGAACUUUUUUUUUUUUUAACAUUUUAACUUGGAAUGUUUAUUUCUAUGACACUUUUAGUUUAUUAGUGCGAUAUGUUUCGUUUUACGCUUUAUAAAAUAUUAAUCUUUCUAAUAAUAUAUAAAAAAAAUAUGCAUUAUACAUUUUAUACUUAAAAAAAUAUAUUUAAUAAGUGUAGAACUCUCAACUUUUAUUAACUUAAAAGGGUAAUAAGUUGUCAUACAAAUUUAGAAUGCAAAAUAAUUAAAAGCAAACAAGUAAAUUAGAACAUAGAAAGACCCCAUUCGACUGAUACAAAUUACUAGGUGAGAACGUUAUACAUGUGCCUUCUUUCCAUAGAAGAUAUCAUUAAGCACAGUCUUGGACGGCGACGAUGCCUUGAGCAAUUUCACAGCCUGACACACAAGCAAAACAAAAAUGUGAUAUCUCAAAGUAUAAUAUAGUUAAAAACAAAAAAAGAUGUACGUAAUUACCUCAUCCAUACGGAUUUUGAUCGUUUUCUCUUGGAGUGCCCCACUAUCUUUGACAGAAAACCUGUUAAGCAAACCUAGACUAGAAAUAGUUGACAAUGGCUUCACUAUAAGAUCAUCCAUAACCAUAUAUGUAACCACCCUUAUCACAUAUCCUCCCUCCUCACCUUCAUUUGAUGAAGACAGGGAUUUAAGACAUGUUUUAUGAUCUAUCUUAACAAGUUUCACUUGGUUACUCAUCGUACAACCUCACUGAGAACAAACAGCCUUCGGAUCCUCUAUAAUAUACAACUGACAGCCAUUAUUGCUACACCUGUAAAAACCUUGGUUUCUUAAAUUGUUUGAUGACUCAAUUGUUAGAACCGUAAAUAAUAUCUAAUAUAAAAUUAGAAUUGUAAACUAAGAUCUAUCAUGUCAAAUCAUCAAGAAUAAAUCAUUAACAAAACUAAAUACGGAAGCAUACCUGGAUCCAUGGGUUAAUAGAAAUUUUUCGGAUCUUAGGGAUUUGAUCUUCCAAAUUAGCACAAAAGAAAUCUUGAGAAGUUGGCUCUCUCUUAGAUCUUUUCUAAAGACGGGAUAUUAGAAAAGUUACCUUGUAUGUAAUUUGGGGACCAUAACCCUAAUAUAUAUAACUUUGGCACAUUAGCCCUAAUUUCUAAUCAGCCCAUCAUCAAUUAGAAAUUAGUUACUAGAGUAUCUACACAUAUUUGACUCAUACUUUAUUUAAUAAUUAAAACCCAAUAAACAAUAACCAAAUUAGAACACUUUUAAUUUGGGCUAACAUAUUAUGAUAGUAAAUAAUAACAUGUAAUUACCCUUAUUAUAUAUGUGAUGUCCAUAUUUUAUAACAAUCUCUUACUUAGACCACAUAUAUAUACUAAUUACUCUAUAACUACAUGUCAUUAUAUAACCUUUUGAGCUCAAAAUUUUACUAUUAUAUCCAAAAGGUAUUCCGAACAAUCUCGUCCAUUAAUUAUGUUAACAUAGAACCAAUGCGACUUUCGUUACAUAUAUCGUAACUAAAUCCAUCCCUGAUCACAUAUAUCAACACAACCAAAUGACAUAGAUCAAGUAUGGACGUGUAGCAUGGAAAUUACAUGCAAUAUGAUCUAAACAUGUCUAUUUCUAACUGGUCCUCCUUAAACCUUAGUGCGAUCAAACAUUACCAAAACCAGAAUGUGAAUAAACCAAAUAAACUUUCUUUCUACAGAAAAUAAACUUAACAUCCGUAAAUUGAAAUAACUGAAAAUGUGUCUAUAAUAUAAAAUCAUUUAAAAGUACAAACUUCCACGAAAACCAAAUAUCCUUAAAUGAUAUUACACCCAUAUGAGCAAUGUGCUCAUGAAAAACCUUGGGUGUAGUCCCUUAAUAAGCGGAUUCGCAAUUAUAGAGUUUGUCCCAAUAUGCUUUAUAGACAACUAACAUUCUAAACUUUUACUUUAACAACCAAGAACUUUAAGUCUAUGUACUUUGAAUUUGAUGUUCUCCUAUUGUUAUUGGAAUAAAUGACUACCAAUUAUUGUCACAAUUUGCACCCUAGUGACAAAAUUUUGUAUAAAUAUUCCAUCAAAAUCGGAGUAUGUAUACUUGAUGAUCUCUAACUUAUCAGACCUCCGAUAUGUGAGCAUGUAAUCUUUUGUUCUCUGAAGAUACCUCAUAACCCUCUUGCCUACUAACCAAUGGUUCAUACCAGGGUUGUUUAAAUAUCUGCCUAACAUCCCAACAAUGUACGCAAUGUCAGGACGUAUAAAUACUUAAGCAUACAUUAGACUCCCAGUUUUGAGAAGCAUACAUUAGACUCCCAGUUUUGAGACGUAGGGAAUCUUGUGCAUUUCCUUAAUCUCAAAACGAUUCUUGGGGUAUUGGUCAAGACUUAACUUAUUAUUGACAAAUAGUAUGUCAUUAACAUAUAAAACCAAAUAUAGAACCUUACUUCCACUGACCUUGUGGUAUAUAUAAUUAUCGAUCAAAUUCAUCUCUAAACUGAAUGAGAUAACCAUUUGGUAAAAUUUGUAAUAUUAUUGACGAGAAGUCCGCUUAAGCCCAUAGAUGAAGUUCUUUAAUUUGCAAAUCAUUAACUUUGCAUCAUUAGGCACAAGAUUUUUUAGUUGCACCAUAUAAAUGUAUGGUCAAUGUAACCAUUGAGAAAACAUUAACUUAAUAUUCAUCUGAUGCAGCUUAAGGUCAAAACACUACACCAAAACAGGCUUUUAGCGGCGCUUUUUUAGGUUUUUAACGGUGUCUUUAAGCGCCACAAAAAGUACCGCUAUAGACAACGCCGCUAAAGAUCAUGACCUUUAGCGGCACUUCUACCACAAACGCCACUAAAAAUCAUGACUUUAACGACACUUUUACCAUAAACGCCACUAAAAACAUGACUUUUAAAAAAAUAUUUUAAUUAAAUAAUAUUUAUUUCUAUGAUAAAUAUUAUAUUAUGUUCUUUUAGUGGCGCUUUUUCACAAACGCUGCUAAAAACAUGACUUUUAAAAAAGUAUUUAAUUAAAUAAUAUUUAUUUCUAUGAUAAAUAUUAUAUUAUGUUUUAUUUUUGAAAUUUAAACUUUAAACUAUAUACUUUUAAGGAUAAAAAAUUAAUAAAAUUAAAAUUUCUAUUAAAAUUUUAACUUUAAAGCUAAAUAUAAAAAUUAAUGAAUUUAAAUUUAGAAUUAAAAAAUAAUGUUUAAAUAAAUGAGCAAUCUACCUCACAACUCAUCUGAUCUAUAUUAACUCGGCCAAAUAUAGAAGAAGCUACAAAACACGUAAUAAUUAACAAUCAUGGUUAAAGAAGCUAGUACACAAAGUAGCUACAAAACCCUAUUUCAAUAACACCAAAUUCAAGUUCCGACUAAGAUAAACGACCAUGGAAUGAAAAAUUAAAUAACACUCCACUUGAAGAAGUGCUAAGCCUUGACUUUUCCAGCUUGAAGAGAUUGAAUCCUCUACAACACCUUCAAUAUCUAAAGGAUGCAAAACCAAAUGAUCAAAUAAAAAUUAUAUAUAGCCAUUAAGGCUCAAAAAAAUAUAUAUAACAAACAAUUACGUGCAGCUUUAGUAGCAAGUUGAACCAUACUAACAAACAAUCUCAAUCAUAGCUCUUCCAUGUGUCACAAAUAGGCAUUCUUUCUAAUGAUUGUCUAAACUAUUCAAUUUUUUAACAAGGAACAAUAGUAUUAAUUUGGAAAAAGCAGAAUUGAGAUUGAUUACAUAAAUCAAUCAAAAUAAAAAACAAUCAUAAAUGAGUCAGUAGAAAACAAUCAUAAAUCUGGUUGAUAACCAAAUUAUAGCAAUUGUAUGAAGACUAAAUUAAGCAUAAGCAAUGCCAAGCUAACAAAAAUAGAUCGAACACUUCAAAACAAAGGAGGAUAUGUUAUUCCUGAAAUUUCUACAAAAAGAGAUUAUGCCUGGAGUACUAUAUGCUUCUAUGCCACCUUAACUAGAAACUAUUUCACAGGAUUGAUUGCCAAAUACUCAAGCAUGCACUUAGACAUCAAGUUUUGAACUAAAAAAAUUGGAGCCAAGGGAAUAGGAACAAUAAAUCUUCUCAUUAUCAACACAUGGUGAUUUAGUUAUGUUGUUGCUUACUAUAAAAGUUUUACAUUUUAAAAAGAAAAAAACAGUUUCUUAAUUAAAAAAAUCUUAUUAAAGACAAAAUAAAGAUAAAAAGCUUACCAGAAUUAGUUGUUAAAUUAGCUGUCUUAUCACGAUAGCGUCUGUUAGUGUGGCUUCGGCUGCCAUUUGUAACAGUACUCCUAGUUUCUUCAACUCCAGAAGAUUCAAACUCCUCAUCCACAUCAACAGAUGCAGCAAUGCAGGUGAUUUUUUCUUUUCGAACAUUGAAUCCAUCAUCAACUUUAGGAUUUCCUUGCUUCUCCCUAGCACCAACGUCCAAACCUAAUAACUUAAAAAAAUUCAAUCAACAAACAGAAGGCGAAUUGGAGGCAGAAAUACCUAAAAGAAACAUUCAACUGCAAGCUGUAAUGGUAUCCAUAGGAAGAAGAAAACAGUAAGGUGUUAAGAUAAUUUUAAAUGUAAAAGUAUGUAUAUCACAACAGAAAUAGCUUCCCAGUAAUUCAAACCCCAAGAAAACUUAAUUCCUUCAGAACAAAAUAGUUGAGAAAAUAAUUAAUAUCCUAACCACUCCCAAAACUACCAAACUGUAAUAGACAAAUAGAAAAUUAGUGAAGGCCCUAACAUCAUAGAUUACAGCAAAGAGACCAGACAAUCAAUAAUGGUUAAGAAUAUUUAUAAAAUACAAUUUACAGGGUAUUUUCAGUUUCGUUAACUCCUCUCAAACAAAAACGAGACAUGAAGCAGGAAAAACCAAAUAAUUGAUUUUUCUUGAAAGUUAACAUCACAAAAAAAAAUCAAUUCUUGAAAGUUAACAUUGCAAACAGUUUACACUGCUCACGACCAAUAUCGUGACACCACCUAAAUGAAAGUUGCUCAAUAAUAUUAUUUGCAUGCAGUACUGACAGCAAUUAACUUAAAAUGAAAAUUCAAAACUAUAUCAAGCACCAUGUAGGUGCCAACGCUUACAUGUUUAUGAGUACUAUAUCUGAAACCGCCAGUGCAAAAAGUGCACUUUGUUUCUCAAAUGCUGUGUCAUCCUGGAAUAAUGCAAAGAAAAUAAUUAAUAAGAUAACUUGGAAAGAAACUCUAAUCCUCUGCAUUUUUCACAAAACAAGGAAGAUAGAUAGGAACAGACAAAAACAAACAGAUUAUCAACUUCAUAUUCAACUUUUAUAAUCUCAAACCACUAUUGAUUUGUUCAGCUUGGUACAUCACUCUAAGCUUUACGUGUUAUUGGAGCACCAAGACCUCUGUCUAAAAUCACCAAUUCUUCUUUUAACAAAAAAACUCCAGUGCAAAUCACCAAAUUUUGUACUUUCAUCAUGAUCGAUUUGAUUGCUCCAAUUUCAAGUAUAUUCUACUAAUCAAUGUUGCUGAAAAUAAUGCUAGGGAACAAAUAUCACCUAUGGUAUAACCUUUGUUUAAACAAGCAAAAAGAGAAUGGAACAUUCAGAACUAAAACCUUGACAUUAGAAAAAGAAAGAAUUGAUGACUGACCUUUAAUUUCAUUUUACUAUCAGGUAAAACAAAAAUUCAUUCAAUAUUAGAACUACUGCCUACAACUAACAAUUCAUUAGCAACACCAAGCCAAUCAAAACUUGUUAGAAUUUUUUAGAUGUAGUUGAUAAAUUGCCAACAAAGCAGGCACUAAGCACUCGAUUAAUAAAUCAAAAUGCAAUGCCAAAAAUACUCUUUUUUAUUGUCCUUUGGGGUCAGGGCAAGGAAGGAGAAUUUUCCUGAAUGUAGUUUCAAUUUUUUGACAAAACAUGUUAAUGAGAGAAUGGAACACUCUCUUCCAUCAGUGCCCUCCAAAUCCAUUACUAUAGUGCAAGGCUCUAUACCAGCACAUUUUGCCAUCCAAAUACCUUUAGUGGUUUGAGACCUGAUAAGAAGCUCAUUUCAUUAAUUGUUUGAACCGAUUGAAACAAAUGCAAUUUGCUAUUACAUAAACAAAAGUUACCUUCCCUUAAAUGCAUCCAUCUCCCUGAAAUUGGUGUAAAACAAAUUGUUUAACAGUGUGCUUUUACCUGUCAAGAUCAAGGAAAGUGAAGAGAAACUUUUAAUGGCAUAAGCAGAACUUAUUUAACAACCAUAGAAUGAUAAAACAGCUAAAAAUUGAAAUCAAUUAUGGAAUGUGUUACAUUCAAAAUAUAAACAAAAUAUGGAUAUAACACUAGCUACAAAAGUAAUUUAACAAUAUCAUGUGGUAACAAGUUCACAUGAAAGUGAGAUAUGAAAGAUAUGCUAAAAUGAAAUCAUUUACGGCAAUAGUUACAUUCAAAAUAACAAUAACAAAAGAUGGAUAUAACACUAACUACAAAAGUAAUUUAACAGUAUCAUGUAGUAACAAGUUCACAUGAAAGUGCAAUAUGAAAGACAUGCCAUUUUCUGAAAACUGACAUGACUAGGCUUCAAGCUUAUCAUACUAUCAUUUGUAUCCCACAUAUUUCUAGUACAAUAUCAUUAAACAUAAUGCAAAGUAAAUAAACAAAGCAGCUUACUAUGAACUGGGAAUAGACACCUAAGUAACAGGGAAAGGAAAGUAUAAAGAAGAAAGUCACAAAGAUAACAAGGCAUACCGCUGCUUUGCGGUCCCAUGAUGGAAACCACGACAUAUGACAGACCGCAUUCAUGAAGUUUCACUUCCUUGAUAAAACUUUCGAUUCCAGUAUCAUUGAAUGAACCAUCUCCAUCAAUAAGUUGAACCGAACAACAUUCAUCGCUUGUCGCUGAGAAACCAAAUGUUCAUAGCAUGUCAAGGUAAAGCGAGAAAGCAUCCAUAAUGCACAGAACUAAACCGCCCUAUUCAUUUUUCCUUAUUAAUUGAAAAUUAAAUUCUCUAUAUCAAUUAAUCAAGGAAAGGACAUUUUAAGUAUACCUCAACUGAAACAAAGUCUAUUUAUCUUUUGAUAGAGAAUUUUGACGUACUAAAUAGCUUUAACAGCUGGUAAUUCAAAUUCCAGUUCUUUGCUUUUUUGUUUUCCUUAGCUUCCUCAACAACCAAACAUGCCAUAAACAUGAAAUUCAUCCCCGGUCCCGAUCCAAACAUCACAACGAAUUGCAGAUUUACACUACUAAAAGAAACUUUAGAAAUCUAAAAUAUAGUAUUCAAACCCAAAUUUCCACCCAAAAAAAAAAACCCCGCAUCGCACCCUAAAUAAUAAGAAGAAGAAGAAAAAUACUUAAGUAAAUUGUAUAUGCAAAUUCUCUUAGAUACUGGAAAACAACAUUCUAUCUUUACCCUUUGUUUGGUCAGUAGGAAAAUGUGAAACAAAAAGAAAAUCAACCAAGCAAAACCCAAAACUUUCAGCUACUUUUUUCCUACACUUCCCAUUUAACUUACCGUCUUAGCUAAGAUGGAAAAUAGGUGCAUGAUGACAGACAAAUGGAUACGAUGCAAAUGAAAAGGGUAAAAAAAAAAGAAGAGAAGAUGAACAAUUUUUAAUGGAGAAACCAAAGAAAGUUCUCGAAAAAUAAAAACCCAAAUAAAAAAUCGCGAAAUCGUGAAAUCGUUCAAAAAUAAAACCACCGCCACAACCGAGAAAAUAAAAAAUCAAGAAUAAGAAAGAACAAAAUUAGCGGGUAUGGGCUGCGGAGGGUUGCCGAUUUAGGGAAAAUGGAGGGGAAAAAAUUAGGGGCAUCGAUUUUGGGAAAAAGAAGGGAAAAAAAGAAAGAUUUUCAUUUAAAAAAAUAUAAUUACAAAACGGCGCCGUUUUGCAAAUAAAUAUUUGUGGCGUUUGAAACAAAAACGCCAUUAUUGUUCUACUUUUAGCGGCGUUUAGAACAAAAACGACUAUUAUUCAACUUUUUUGCCGCUAUUGCUUACCUUUUGCGGCGUUUUUUCAUAAACGCCGCUAAAGCUCAACAUUUUUACAAUUUUUUAUAUUAAAUUAUUUUAUCUUUCAUAUAAAUUUUAAAUAAAUAUUUUUUUUAAAAUUUUAAGUAAUAUUUAAAAGAAUUAGAUAAAUUUGGUCCUAUCCAAAAUAGAUAGUUACAUAUCCAUAUCAAUCUGUUACUUUUUAUUUAUUUAUUUAUCAAUGUUUUUUUUAAAUCUAAUAUUUAAAUAUAUCAAAUGGUUUACAUUAAAUAUUUUUAAAUAUAAAAGCAUUAAUUGAUUGUAUAAAAUUUUAUCAUUUAACAAAUCUCAAGUAAACCUUAAAUCCUAAAUCAUUUAAUAUAUAUAAAGUUUAUCGAUUAUCUCUUAAAUAAUUUAAACCAUAAUCAUAAUUUUAAUAUAUUAAAAUUAAUAUUAUCUCUUUCACAAUUAUAUAAGAAAUUAUUUAAUAUAUAUAAAUUAAAAAACACUAAUUAAUCUAAACCCUAAACCCCUAUCCCCUAAAGCAUAAAUCAUAAAACAUAACCCCUAAACCUUAAAUCCCAACCCUUAAACAAUAAACCGUAAACCAUAAUCCCUAAACCCAUAAUCCAUAAACCUUAAAAUAGUAACUCUUAAACCUUAAACCCUACACCAUAUACCAUAAACCAUAAACCAUAAACUAUAAUCAUAAUUAAUUCAAUAUUUUAAAAUUAAUAUUAUCUCUUUUACAAUUAUAUAAGAACAUAUUUAAAAUAUAAAUAAAAAACUAAUUAAUCUAAAUCCAAAACCCUAACCCGGCCCCUAAAUCCUAAAACCCUAAAUCCCUAACUCUUAACCCCAUAAUGUCUAACCCUUAAACCCCCAACCUUAAACCUUAAAUCCCAACACUUAAACCAUAAUCCCUAAUUCAUAAUCCAUAAAUUCAUACUCCCUAAAUCGGCCUUAAAUCUUAAAUUAAUCAUAUAUCCUAAAUCAAAAACCCUAAACUAUAGUGAUAAUUAAUUCAAUAUUUUAAAAUUAAUACUAUCUCUUUUACGAUUAUAUAAUAAAUUUUUUAAUAUACAAAUUAAAAAACAAUCAGUAAUCAUGUACCAAAAAAACUUUAAAAUUAUUUUAAAUAAUAGUAUUUUAAUUUUUCCAUGUGUUUUAUUUCAAAUUAUUUCUACGUGUCAUUAUUUUUUUUGAAGAUUUUAAAUAUUCAAUUAGAAAUAAAUUGAAUUUUAUUUAAUUAAUAUAAAUAAACCAAUUAAGAUAAAAAUGUUUUUUAGCGACGCUUCUUCAAAAACGCCGCUAAAGACCAGAGCAUUAGCGGCGCUUUGUUAAAAACUCUGCUAAAGCCCAGAGCGGCGCUUUUUCAAAAAUGCCGUUAAAGCCCCGAGCAUUAGCGGCGCUUUUUCAAAAAUGCCGCUAAAGCCCCGAAAGGUCAGAAAAUGACGCCGUUGGGCUUAGGUUUUUGCGGUGGCUAACGCUCAUUUUUAGCGGCGUUUUCCAAAAAAACGCCGCUAAUGCUCAAUCUUUAGUGGCGAUUUCCAUAAAGUGCCGCUAAUGCUCGAUUUUUGCCGACGUUUUUUGUCCAAACGCCGCUAAAACUGCUGUUAAAAGCCUGUUUUGGUGUAGUGAAAUAUUCCACUAAAGCCAUUAUAAUCCUUUCUCUAGUGGACCUUUUUUAAUGACAUUCAUUCUUAAGGUUGUUGAGUUUGUUUUUUUGGAACAAUUACCUCAUCUUGAAUAGGGAGUUGUUCAACAUUGUCUUAUUGAGGUUCUGGAUUCACUUCUUGAUCAAUGAUAGGUAUGAGGACCAGAACAUCGUUAAAAGUGAUAGCAGGAACUGAGUUAGAAUUCAAUUCCUUCUCAAAAGAAAUGUCUCUAACUUUAUUUCUCUCUCCAAACUUAACAUCCUCAAAAUAUGUUGUAGUUCUCAUCUCAAAAAUAUGUCCAAUUUCUUUUCAUGUGGCUUAUAAGGCCUUGCCUCAAGUGGACAUCCCCAAAUGUGAAAGUGCUUUAGACUAGGUUUUCGACCUGUCCAAAGCUCAUAAGGUGUUUUUGCAACUGCUUUAAUGGUAUUUUAUUCAGAAUGUAAGUUGUUGUUUUUAAAGGCACUGACCAAAUGAGCACCUUCACACUUAUCAUGUUUCAACCUUUCUUCUUUUUACACACAAUAAAAAAUGAGCUCAUUUAGAGUCCAUUUCUCCUAUUGAUAGAUGUAACCAAUUUUAAAUUGGUUAAACUAUCCAGGAAGCGAUACCAAAACCAUAAGAAAAGGUAAUUCCUCAAAAAGCUCGAUCUUAAGUGCCUUAAGUCUUGAGGCAACAUGAAACAUCUCCAUAAUGUACUCUCCUAUGUUUCCUUGACCCUUAUACUUCACAGACAUCAAAGAAUUCAGAAAUGAUGUCAUCUCAACCUUAUUGCUUUUAGCAAAACGUUUCUCAAUUUCAUCAAGGAAACACUUGGCCUAAGUAAUCUUUUCAAAUUUUGUGCCCCUAAAGGCUUCUAGAAUGUUGUGUUUCAUGAUCAUUAGACUCAUGCAAUUUGAAUGAACCCACCUCUCAAAAUCCCUCUUAACAUUAGGGGUGCUUUCCGUAGUGAGAGGUGCAGGUUGUUCUCCCCUUAGUGCAAGGUCUAUGUCCAUACAACCAAGCACUAUAAGUAAGCGCCUUUUCCAUUCCUUAAAAUUAUUCACAUUAAGUAUGGGUAUAGAAUUUAUAUUAGCAGAUAUUGUGGCAACAGAAGAUGAACUAGCUGAAUAUAGAACGAAAAUAAAUAAAAACAAGAUCACAUCAAUAUUCAUAAGUAAACAAUAAAUUCAAGAUAAUGACUAAUCCCAUCUCAAGAUAUCAAACACAAUAUUAGUAUCAAGUCUUUGGAAAAUAAUAUUAACAGUAAAUGGUACUCUUGUUGCAGCAAUCAAACAUUGACAAUAAAUUAUGUCAAAUAAUGAAUUAAUAUUUGGACUAACUUAUUGUUCACAUAAAUUACCUUAUAAUUGUCACACAUUUAUCACCACAAAUGUCAUUAAAAAUCUGUCAAAUAUUAACUUACCUUUGGGCCAAUUAAUAAACGCAUGAAUCAUAAAAACAUAUAAUCAUUUUGAUAUUUUAAAUAAACUAAUCUACACAAAAGAGGUCACUUUGGCAACAUUUUCUUUCAACUAAUCUAUUUAAAAUAUUAGACAUCCUUAAUUAAAACCUAAAGCCAAAAUCUGAACUUAUUUGUUUCAAAAGAUCUAUCUUAAUCUUAUCUUUUUAUCAAAUUAAAAGAUAAUUGUGUAUAUAUAUGUAUUUAUAUACUUUUCCAAAACAACAUGCAUGUAUUAUAUAUGUAUAUAUAAUAAAAUAUAUAUAUUAAAGAAUUAAGCCAUGAGUAUAUGUUAACCAUUUUUUUUAAACAUCAAAUUAAAUUCCUUAUACCAUUUAAAAAUAAUAAUAGGACCUAUGGCUUUCAAAGAAAGGGCACUAAAGUAACGAAUAAUAAUAACAUGAUUUGCAAAUAUAUAUAACAUACAGCAGCACAAAUCAUGAAGAAAGAAAACAAACUGAAUCGCAAGAAAUAGAUUAAAAUGCAAGUAUAUAUUACACAAAUAUUCCAAACUCUGUAAUUGAAUCCAUCAAUUCGAAAAUCACCCAAAUUAAAAAAUAUUAAAACAAAACCUUAAAAUUUUAAUAUGAAUUCAAGAUAAUCAAUAUCUUAAAAAAAAUACUUCAACAUAAACCUUCAAAGGUCAACAUAUAUAUCUGAAAUAUAAAACCCAUGAAAUUUCAUGAAUCAAUCAUUCAAGGGAAGAACCUUAAUCAACUCUCAAUGAUUCGAUAUGAUGAGGCUCGGAUGCCACUUGUUAAUAUCAUAAAUUAAGAUAUGAUAUAAAACUUAAUUAAUCAUAAAUCAAGAUCUUUCAUGUCAAAUCAUCAAGAACAAAACAAGAAUAAAACUAGAUGCAGAAUCGUACCUGAAUCCAUGGGUCACUAGAAAAUUUUCAAAUAUUAGGGAUUUGAUCUUCCAAAUUAGCACACAAGAAAUCUUGAUAAGUUGGCUCUCUCUUUGAUCUUUUCUAAAGAUAGGAUAUUAGAAAAGUUACUUUGUGUGUAAUUUGGGGACCAUAACCCUAAUCUAUAUAACUUUGACACAUUAGCCCUAAUUUUUAAUCAGCCCAUCAUCGAUUAGAAAUUAGUUACUAGAGUAUCUACACAUAUUUGACUCAUACUUUAUUUAAUAAUUAAAACCCAAUAAACUAUAACCAAAUUAGAUCACUUUUAAUUUGGGCUAACAUAUUAUGAUAGUAAAUAAAAACAUGUAAUUACCCUUAUUAUAUAUGUAAUGUCCAUAUUUUCCAACAUCAAUAUUAUGCAACAACUGAGGCUAGUUUGGUGCAGUAGAGGCUAAAACUUUAGGGUUCAACAGUACUUCAUUGGCCUAAAAUGGUUGCAUAUACACCUCACUCAACUUUUCAAUGCACUCAUAAAGGUUUCUAAGUGAACCCACCAUGCCUUCCUUGAUAAAAAGUCUAACAACAGUGCCUACAGGCAAUGACAUUAUGUUGAAAAGGAAAACAACAAAGUCUUUGCCGGCUUCGGCAAACAAAACUCUUUGGCCUCUCAUGUCAACCAAAAGCUUCAAAGUAACUUUGCCCGCCAUUGAUAGAAACUCAAGUUCUGAACUUAGAUCAUUAGCUCCAGCACUGAAUAGAUACACUGGUGUUGGUGUUUUUGAAGUUGAGAGAAUAGAAAAAAGAUAAUUAGCAACAAAUGCAAAAGGAACACUUAGCAGAUUGAAUGAAUAGUUAUCAAUUUUUUUCAUCAUAUUUUCAUUCCAAAAGAUUACAAUAUAUAAGAGAAAUGGUCACAAGUUAUUAACUAAUCCUAUCAAAUCAUCUUGGAAAAAUAAAGAUAAAACUUGUACACUAACUGAUUAGGUAAAUCAGUACCUAAAAACAUUGCUUUAACAAGUAAUCUCAAUAUGCAGACCAAAAAAAAUAUCAGUUUCAACACAUGUGAACCCAUCUCACACUUCAUCUUGCAGUUCGCCAAAAGUCUUGACAGCUUGCAGCUUCCAAUGAGCUUGCAACUUCAAGUAAGCUCGCAACUCACAAUUUUGUUUGAGCUCACGACUUUGAGUAGGCUCGUAGUUUCUAAUGAGUUUGCAUCUUUUGAGCUUGUAGGUUACAUCCUAAGUUUGCCAUUGUAUGAAUGGCCACUUCGCAACACUCCUCCUUGGCCAUAAUGUUGUGAACUCCAAUAUUAUGUCUUAGACUCUCGAACCUCAUCUUUUUAAGAGGUUUUGUGAGAAUAUUAGCAAGUUGAAAAUCUGAACUGCAAUGAACCAGUUUCACUUUAUUUGAUUGUUCGACCACUUGUACAAAAUGAUACUUUAUCUUGAAGUGUUUUGUCUUGCCAUAGAAGAUAGGGUUCUUUGCAAUUACAACAGCAUAUUGAUUGUCAUAGUGUUUUUCUAUUGCUUCCACUUGCUUAAUAUUUAAAUCAGACAUUAACCUUCUUAGCCAAAAUGCUUGGCUUACAGCUGCACCUGCUACGAUGUACUCAGCUUUGGUAGUUGAUUGUGCAACAAUCUUUUGCUUUUUUGAGCUCCAACUAAAUACACUUGAUCCCAAAAUGAAGAAGUAUCCUGAAGUGCUCUUCAUAUCUUCAACAGAACCACCCUAAUCACUGCAUGUGAAACUAGUUAACUUCAGCUCCUUUUCUUUCACAUAUUUAACUCCAUAACUCAGAGUUCCUUUGACAUACCUGAGAACCCUCUUCGCAGCUGUAAAAUGAACUACAUUACAAUAGUGCAUAAAUCUCAAAAGCAAACUAACAAAAAACAUAAUAUCUGGCCUCAAUUUUGUCAAAUAAAGCAAACUUCCUAUAAGGCUCCUAUAGCUCCCUUCAUCAACUCUUUCAAAAUCAACUUGGCUUGAGAGUUUUUCACCUUGAGCAAUGGGAGUUCCUACUGGCUUGCAAUUCUCCAUACAAAACCUGUUCAAGAUCUUUAAUGUAAAGCUCUUUUGACUAAUGAGGAUUUAUUGUUCUAACUGAAACACUUCUAGACCAAGGAAAUAAGUCAUGUCUCCAAGAUCAGACAUUUCAAAUUCAACUAUGUUAGCAGGUUUUCACCACUGCCAGUUACUAGCAAAUGAUCAACAUACAAAAACACUAUCAGCAAGGUCUCCUUCUAUCCUUUCUUGACAUACAAUGUGGAUUUGCUGAUGCUUAUUUCAAAUCCCAAGCUCACUAGAUGCUUGUCAACUCUCUCAUAGCAAGCUCAUAGAGCCUGUUUCAGGCCAUGGAAAGCCUUCUUCAGCUUGCAUACCAUAUGCUUUUCACCAUCAGUUACAAAUCCUUGUGGAUGUUCAACAUAAACUUCUUCCUUCAAAAUACCACUGAGGAAUGCUAACUUUACAUCGAGUUGAUGUAUUUUUCACCCUUUCUGCGCUGCCAUAGUUGAUAGCAACUUGAUCGUAUCUAAUCUAACUAUUUGUGAAAAGGUUUCAGCAUAGUCAACACCAUAUUGUUGACUAAAUCCUUUUGCAACUAGUCUAGCUUUGAGUUUGUUUACUGAAUCAUCUACAUUUAACUUGGUUUUAUAAACCCAUUUUACCCCAAUGACCUUCCUGCGAACUGGUCUGUCAACCAACUCCCAAGUCUCAUUCUUCUUGAUCAUGGCUUUCUCAGCUUCCAUAGCUUCUAUCCAGCCUUUUUUUUUUUGCUGCCUCUUCAUAAUUGAUUGGCUCCAACACAACUACAUUACACCUUUCAUAUACAUCAGAGAUAGGCCUAGUGCUUCUAACUAGUAAGUCAUCAAGAUAAUCAUCAUCGUAAUUUUAAGCUUCAUUUGGUUGUACAUUCAGCUCAGUCUGACUUAGUUCAACCAUCUCAACUUUUUUAGCUUCCCAAUUCCACAAAGCUUAUUCGUUGAACUUCACAUCCCUGCUCUCAAACACUUUGCUCAUAAAGGGAUCAAAGAUUCUGUACCCUUUCUUGCAACUGUUGUAACUAAUAAAGAUACCUGAUUGAGCUCUUCUUUCCAGCUUAUUCCUUUUAACAGCAGGAAUAAGUGCAUAGCACAAGCAACCAAAGAUCUUCAAGUGUGACACUAAAGGCUUGAAUCCAAACCAUUCUACAAAAUGUGUCAUAUCCUUCACAGCUUUUGUUGGUAAUCUGUUGAGCAGAUAAACAUAGGUGUUCGCAGCUUCAGCCCACAGCUUGUUUGGUAGCUUGUUUGGUAACUUCUUCUCAAACAAAAAACACAUUGGCAUAUCCAUCAUUAUUCUAUUCUUUCUUUCACAUAUACUGUUUUCUUGAGGAGUGUAUGUAUUUGUCAACUGAUGCUCGAUCCCAGCAUUUUCGCAAAACCUUUGAAAGUUUUCAAAAGUGUCUUUAGUCUCAUUGUCUGACCUGAGUAUUCUUAGCUUGUAACAAGUUUGGUUUUCAACAUGUCACAUCUCAAAAACUGGGUUAGUAGAAAUUGGGUUAAUGAACUGAGAGUGGUCAUGACCAAACUUUUAUUUUGGUAAUCUUUUGCCCAUUUGAUAAUAAAGAAAUAUCAAUUAUAAUGAUUGAGUAGUGGUGGAGUUGUCCUUGUAUUUGAAUCCCUUCCCUUUUGUUAAUUUCUAUUUGGUAUAGAUUCUUUUAAACCCUUAGCAAAGGUUAUCCCAUGUUUUUAAAUAUUUUAUGUUAAAAUUAUCACAAGGAGUAAUGUGGUUAAGUGGUUGAGUGCUUAAAUAAAUUUCUAGAGGUCCAAUGUUCAAUUUUCCACACUCUCAAAUUUUUAUUUAAUUUUUUAACAACUUUUGCUAGUGUGAACACUCCUUACCAUCAAACCUAGUUACAACGCAUGGGGAAAGAUUCUUGAUUGUGUGUGAGUGUAUCUUUCCUCAUUAAGCCCACUUUUCACUCCCAUGAUCCCCUUUUUGCUCCAUUGUCCCCUCUAUAUGCCUAUUUUCUUCACCCUUAUCUUGUGUGUCAUACAUUGAACCUGGACAAGGUGAAUGACACCUUUUGUUGUCCAUCUUUUAUUUUCCUAUUCAUUUUUUCCACCCCCUCUUUUGCUCAUCCUUAUUUUCUCCCUUUUUUUCUUUUGUUUUAGCCAUCAACCACCAUUUGUAUUAUCUUUCUUCCUUUCCUCCACCACUUAUUUACCUUGAACCACCAUUGUCACCACAAGACCUCCACAUUGCCGCCACUUUUCUCCUCUAUUUUCUCCACCACCGCCCUAAGUGCCACCCUCCUCUGUUGUGACAACCACCUUGCAUCACCAAUUUUAAUACUCAUUUUUCUUUUCUUUCUUUUAUUUUCUCCUCCUUUUCGCAAGUGUCAAACCCCUUUCUUUUUUUAUUGUCUACCACCGUGAUUGCCACCGUGAAAACAACCGUAAAAUAAUAAUAUUUUUCCCUUCCUCUCUAUAGCGAUUUUAUUAUUUAUCAUAGUAGGAUUAUUUAUUAUUGUCUAUUAAUUCUUCUUAGUAUUGGAUAUCUUAGAUAUUGUGGCUAUUACUCCCAAAUCUCAGUCAUCUUGUCUUCCGUACCGAUUCCUAAAUAGUGGGAUCAAAAGUAUUUGGAAUACUUACUUUAUUCAAAACUUCUUAAUCCUUAUAUAGUGACUGAUUGCCAUCUUCCUAACUAGGUGUUUCUUAUUUGAAGGAUCGAUUUCAAGCAUAUAAUUUCCUAUGAUUCAAAUAAUGGAAUCAUAUUGGAUUAAUAAAGAGUAAGUAUUGUCAUAGAAGCCAAAGCGUAAUCAUUUAUCAAAGAUUUAUCAAGGGUGUUUUAAUGAUAGAUUAUUCGUUUUAUGUUUAGAUCUGAGAUAGAUCUAAAUAAAUUCAGAAGUGGGCAUCAGAAGGAGUUUUCGCAUUAGAAUUACUACGAUCAGGUGUGGGUUUUAACACUAAACAAAAUUAAGUCUUUAUUUUAUGUUGAUAAAAAAAUUAUUAUUUAAAUUAUGUUUUUUGAUGAUGAUACAUUAUGUAUCCAUAAAGAGAGAUAAACCCAUCGUUAUGGACUAUAUCAAGUAAAUGUUUUCCAAAUCGUAUAUGUUGUGAAAAGCAUGUUGUGUGAUAUUAAUGAUUAUUAUUGAUUUGAAAAAUAUGUAAAUCUCAUCUCAUGUUAUGUGAUCAUAUGGCAUCUGUGAUUUUUGCAUGAUUACAAAAUGUGAAAUUUUGGUACCAUGUGUACAUAUGUGAUUUGCAUGUUAAACAUGCGUAUAUGAAUUUGAGUGAUUUUGGCCAUAUCACAUGCAUUGGGUGGGAUAUGUGAAAGGUGGAAGUUAUUGGUAGUUUACUUGCUAUUUUUGUAGCUUGUCCACGAUAUUGAUUAUUGACUGUUUAUCUGCGAUUUUGGUAGCUUGUCUGCGAUUUUGGUAGCUUGUUCGCAAUAUUGAUUAUUGGUAGUUUAUUUGCGUUAUUGUGACACUAUUCACAAUUUGUUGUGUUAUUGGAUGGAAAAGUUCUGAGGAACUCGAUUUUUGUGUGUAGCAGAGAUGGGUAGGAUAGUUUUCACAAAAUCUGCAUCGUUCUACGAAAUGUGCAUUGACGUGAUCAUGCAUAGUAUAAGUGUGAAUUAUUGAGUUAUAUGAAAUUGAUAUGAUUAUUAUGAUUGUAUAACGUGUAUGUUUAUAUGUAUGUGAUUGUGUUUAUGUUAAUCUCACACUGAGCUUUAUACCUCAGCCCUUAUAGUUUUCUGAUGCUACAGAUAACCCCAAGGUUAGGAUUCGACGAUGACAUUUGGAGGAGUUUCUCGGAAGUCUUUUUAAAUUAAAGUAAUUAAAUUUUAUUUUGAUAUUUUAGGUUUGUAAUAAGUUUAUGUAUGGACUGUGGCAUGAGAUUUUAUUUUGGGGAUUUUUCAUUCUCAUUUGCAUAAAUUGCUUGCAUGACAUUAAGUUUUAAAAACUGCAUAAAUUAGUAUUUGAUAAGAUUUCGCUUGAAACUCAGUUUUUAAAAUAGAAUCUGUCAAUAACAUAUUUUUUCGCUGCAUUUUUGAAAAGUGAGCUUUCAAUAAAAUUAGACUAAGUUUUCAAAAUUAUUAAUGUUUACAAAUGAGUUUUCUAAAGGCAUUUGAUUUCUGAAGUUAAUAUACAAAUGAUUAGAAGUAUGAUUGAAAAUCUGAAAUACUUUGAAUAAAUGAUUGAAUGUCUACGAUUGAGAUAUUAAUUAUUUCAAUUCUUGAAAUUUGCAUAAUUUUUACGAAAUUAAAAUAAACACUUUACUUCAUUUGUUUUGAAUUGAUAAGCCAAUAGUUUUAAAAUAUUUUUCAAAAUUUUGAAAGAUUAUUUCGACCAUUUUCAUGGACAAAUGGAUUUAAAAUGCGAUUGAAAAUGAAUUUGAACAUUAGAUUUUACUAGUUUUGAACAAACUGCGCAAAUGGUUCAAAAAGUAUGUUUGAAAUUAAAAUUUUUUUUGAGCCAUUUCGGUAGCCAAUGUAGCUUUCUAAAUUCGGCCAUAACGACUGUGCCAGGUUUGGUGUGUUACACAGAAGCUUUAAACUUCUAAAAAGCCUCAGCAACUUCGGACUUGGCCUUCAAAAAAUACACCCAACAAUAUCUAGUGUAGUCAUCAAUAAAUAAAAUGAAGUAUCUGCUAUUGCUAAGUGAAGCAAUCUUCAUUGGUCCACAUACAUUAGUGUAAACUAAAUGUAGCUUCUCAGUAGCUCGUCAUGCCUUGUUGAUAAGAAAUAGAAGCCUUGCUUGCUUCCCAAACUGACAUACCUCGCACAUUGCAGUUCGCUCUGCAACAUUAGACAUGUUCUCAACCAAACCAUGCUUAUACAACAUAUUAAGUGACAUGUAAUUAAUAUGCCUCAGUCUCUUACACCACAAGUCAGUACCAUCAGUUGAACUAAAGUAGGCUUUAAAGGUAACUAAGUUCCAUUUUAGAACAAAGCUCAUAUCACUCAUUUUAACUCACAUAAGCUCAUGACCAGUUGAUUCAGAUACAUCACAUUUAUUCUUUUCAAAAACAACAGAAUAAUUCUUCUCAACAAGCUGACCAACACUGAGCAAGUUCUGAUCUAUAUUUGGUACAAAAAGAACAUCAGUAAUAACUUUUGUACCUGCAGGAGUGCUAACCUGAACAUCUCCCUUUCCCUUGGCUUCAAGGAUAUGGCCAUUUCUAACUCUGAUUCUCGAACAGAAGGCUCUAUCAAUCUCCUUGAACAUGCUUUCAUCUGAAACCAUAUUAUUUGUACAACUACUAUCAAUCAACUAGUUUUUCUUGACUUCGUUGUUGACUGCGAAGCAUGAGACAAUGAAUGCAAGCUCCUUCUAAGCUUGAUUUUCAUCAGCAGCUUGAGUCUGAUUAGACUGUUGCACUUUGUUUUUGCAAAUUGUAACAUCAUGGCCAAAUUGGUUGUAGUUUUUACACUGCACACCAGGUCUGGUCCAAUAAAAAUUCUCUGAAUGACCCAUCUUUUUACAAUUAGAGCAUGGUGGAUAUUUUUCCUUCUCACCAUCUCUUUUUGGCCUUUCUUUUGUUUGAUUCCUUUUCUUUUUGCCUUUGUUUCUUGAAGAGCUUAGACUCUCCUUGUUCCUUGCUUAGUAAGCACCUUCAGUGUACCCCUCUUUUCUACUUGCUAUUAUUUGCUCCUGUGCAUAUAGGGCAUUUAUGAGCUCUGAUAGAGAGAUUGUUGUCACGUCUCUCAAGUCCUCCAAGGAUGAGAUCCUGGACUCAUACUUUUUUGGCAGUGUUGUGAUGACUUUCUCAGCAAUCCUUCGAUCACUGAUCUGAUCGCUAAGCAUCAUUAUGUUGUUGACAAUAGACAUGAUCUUGUCUAUGUAUUACAUGAUUGUUUCAGUUUCUUUCUUGUUCAAGUUCUCAAUGUCUCUCCUCAAGUUCAAAAGUUGUUGCUGCCUUAUCUUCUCAGCCCAUUGGAACUCCUCCUUCAACUUAUCCUAGGCUUGUUUGGGAGUUUCACAAGCCAUGAUUCUUGUGAAAAUAACAUCAGACACACCACUUUCAAGGAAAGACAAAAUCUUAUAUUUUUUAACAGCCUCAUCAUUAUUUUGUCUAAUUUGAGCUAUAAUUGAAUUAGCUCGCAAAGAUGGUGGUUAUCUGUAUGAAUCAAAAGCUUCCCACAAUUCAUAUGCCUAAAGAUAUGUCUUCAUCUUCACUACCCAAAUAUAGUAGUUUUCUCCAGCAAAGAUAGGAGGUAGAGGGGGUGUAAAACUUCCAGAUGAUAUUGCAAUACAAACAAGAUACAAUCAACACUUUUUUAAAAAAGAAAACACUCACAAAACCCUUAAAGACUUAGGCUAUUGAUACCAAUUGUUGGUAUUUUUUAAGUUGAGAGAACAAAACAAAGAUAAUUAACAAGAAAUGCAAAAGGAACAUUUAGCAAAUUGAAUGAAUUGCUAUCAAUUUUUUCAUCAUAUUUUCAUUCCAGAAUAUUAGAAUAUAUAAGAGAAACGGUUACAAGUUAUCAACUAAUCCUAUCAAAUCGUCUUGGAAAAAUAAAGAUAAAACUUGUACACUAACUGAUUAGUUAAAUCAUUACUUAAAAACAUCAAUUCAAUACUAAAUUUGCUUGUUUUAAUAAGUAAUAUCAACAAGCAACCAAAAACAAAAAUCAAUUUCAACACAUGCGAACCCAUCUUGCACUUCAUCUUGCACUUCACCAAAAGUCUUGACAGCUCGCAGCUUCCAAUUAGCUCGUAACUUCAAGUGAGCUAGCAAUUUUGGCAGAGCUCGUAGUUUUGUUUGAGCUCACAACUUUGAGUGGGCUCGUAGUUUCCAAUGAGCUCACAUCUUUAGAACUUGCAAGUUUAAAUGAGCUCACAGCUUCACAGCCUAAGUUUGCCAUUGCAUAAAUGGUCACUUCACAACAGUUGGUAUGUGGAUUGUGUCAGACUCGACCUUUGGUCUACCCUUCUUGCUUUCAAUGGUCUCUUGUUUCUCUUCUUUAUUGCAUUUUGUAGUGGAAUAGAAAGAAGAAUAUCUAAGCUUAAAUAGACCAAUGGUUGCUUCUCAUUGAAGUAGCAAAGAGGUUUUAAGUGGAAAACUUGAUAAAAUUUACUUAUAGUCCAUCUUCAUUUAUUAGAAUUUCAUUUUCAUCCACAAUAUUUAAAAAUCACAUUUAUAAUCAUAACUUUUUUUAAAAAUUCACAAUUCAUGCCGUGUUGUUUGUUAAAUGCUUAAACAAAAAAUUGACUCGUAUUUUUCUCACUUAAGUACUUAAACUAUUUUUUUUUGUCUAAAAUGAUAUCUAAAUUUUAACUCUGAUACUAAUUUUGGUCUAAACCAUUAAAUUCAUUAAAAAAAUCUCAUAACCAAUCAAAGUAUGUGCCUCCCUGAUAACAGUGACUAAGAAGAGCUGUGAGGAAAAGGAAAGAAUAUGAGAUUUCUCUUUAUAUGUCAUUUAUAAGGGAAGAAUAAACUAAUCAAUGGAAUUUCUUUUUCUUUUUCUUUUUUUUCACAAAACUCAUUUAGCUUGUCCAACUUUUGGAUUUCUCAUUUUUUUUUCUUUUUUCCUCCUUUAAUUUAUUAUUAUUAUUAUAAAACCCAAAAUCUUUAACUUGUCCAUGAAUGAUGAAUACAAUUUAUGUUUAUAGUUCAUAUUUUAUAAAUUGUAAGAUAUUUAAUGUUUUCUAAUCUUAUUUAAUUAAAUUCUUUUCAUGAGAGUGUGAACAAGAGUAUUCACACAUAUAUGACCGGCCUUUCCCUUCUUGCCAAGACCUAAAAAACCAUGAGUAACCACCAAAAUCUUUCCCUUUUCCCUCACAGCUACUCCUCGCCUCUGUUAAGAAGGAAGAAGAACAUGAAAGUGGGAUAGGGAAAAAAUAUUUAAUCUAAUUUAAUUCAUUUAAUAUUAAAUUUAAUUUUUUAUUUAAUUAAAAAAGACUUAAAUAUAAAAUAGAUACCUAAACUUAUCAACUUCUCCAAAAUUAGUAAUUAAGAUUUUUUCCCCCAAAUUGGGAUCAAAAUUUUUUUCCGUCAACUAAAUCAGUAUUCUUUUGUAACAUCGUUAAAUUCGAGAUGGGUGGUAGAAUAGGAUUAUGUCACGUGACAUUUAUGACAUCAUGAUAAUGUCAUAAUCUAAAAAAUAUAUUUAAAAUUAAUAAAAAUAUUUAAAAAAAUAAAAAUCUAAAAAAUAUAUUUAAAAUCAUAACGUUCAUCGACAUUGUAUACAUAUAUUGGAUUCCAACUCAAUCAACAAACAAAGAUAUGUUAGAAUUCACCCUUCCAACCCUUCCAAGCAACCAUAACUCAAUAAAGUUAAAUUACUGCAUAAAGUGAGUAGGUGAACUAGAACAACAUGAUCCAAGUUUCCAAGUUCUUAUCAUGAUGUAGAUCAUUCAUUUACUAACUUUAAGUACCUAUAUCUCGAAUAUAUACAGAUCUUAUAAAAAAAUCAUAUCUUAAAAAACAACUAACAAAUUGAAAUGUAAUAAACAUCAUAUUCGAAAUCAUGGAUUUCAACUAUUGUUCAUCACAAACACGAAAUUACUGUUUACUCAGAUCUGGAAAAAUCCCAAUUUAAGGAUUCAUAUAGAUAACUGGAACAAAACAUACCUCACCAUUUAGGUGCCUUUCAACUAGAGUUAUAUCUUUAAAAAUUCAGAUAUGAAAAUUUCAUAAAAAAUCAUAAAAUCUAUGGAGGGAGUAACCUUCAACAUUGAAGAGGACUAUGAUUUCGAGAGCUACCACUACGAGAAGGAGAGAAGGGGAGAAAGAUCUAGAGCGAGAAUGAUAGCUAGACGGGGAAGCAGAUUUGGAGCGGGACACGGAAUGAGAGCGAGAACUGGACUUGGAGUCUAAACUGGAAUAAGAGUAGGAGCGAGACCUAGACCGUGAAUGAGAACGAGAAGAGGAACUGGAGCCAGAGACAGAAGGAGAACGCCGACCUCUCAUCGGCUUCGCUAUUGGUGGAAUACAAAGAGAAGAACGAUAGAAAUAGGAAAUCUUUUUUUUUUUAGAUUUUUUAUUUUUUAAAAUAUUUUUAUUUAUUUUUAAAUCCUAUUCUUCCACUUGUUCUGAACUUCACAGCGUUAAAAAAAUGUAUUGAUUUAGUUAACGGAAGAAAAAU
rnacentral:lncRNA from 1 species